rnacentral:lncRNA from 1 species
UUUUUUUUUUUUUUUUUUUUUUUGUGUGUUGUGUGAAAAGAUGUGGUUGUGUACUGCCCUUUGUAGUUUCCAACUUAUAUUUGAUGUUUUAGUUCAGUAUCUAAUAUUGCGUUUGUAGAUGGUAUUUUAAAAUGACUAUAUCCACAUGCAAACAAGAACUUGUGCUGAAAUUUCAUUCUAGUUCAAAUAUUUCUAUAUUGAUUCUAAAUAAUUUUAUUUGUUUUGAUGGUUAUGUUAGUAUUUACUAAAACAUGAUCUUUUUGAAAUUUGAAGAACUAAAAAUACUAAAUAUGGGACAAUCAGAUGUUGGCAAUGCAUAACAUACCGAAAAGGGGAUGAUCUUGGACUUAUUCCAUGCUGCCACAGUUAAAGUUCGAUCUUAGCGUAAGAUUGGUAAAAUUUAGGAUUUUUACUGAUCUUUCAUGAAGCAUUAUGCCAUAAAUUAAGACAGGUUUGAUGGAUGCUUUGGUUGAAUCUGUAGGAGAUAAAAUAUCUAUAACGGUAGUCACUGUUAUAUACUUGUUUAAGGAUACAGAUUCCUUUAAAUGCUCAAUCAUGCAUGAAAUUUAGCCGGCUACGCAAUUGAUUCCUUGUAACCAGAGCAAAUAAGAAAAUAAUUUAUGUUUUGGACGGUUCUCCUACCCAUAUAGGUGUCAAACUAUUGCCAAAAUGUUGCCUGCUGACCUCAUGUGAUACUACUAUAAUUUUCUGUAAAAUAUGAAAAUGCACGUUUUGUAUUCCUUUUGGCUUGAGUGAACAAGUGAACUUCUCUAGAGACUUGAUUGGAGAGGGCCAUAUUUCUUCAAGCUCCAGUACCCUUAAGGUAAUUCUUCUUAUUCGAAGUUUGAUCGAAGAAAAGACAUGGAGCAAUCCUUGUUGUGGGUAACUGUAGUACAGAUUUUCUUAGUGAUUGCCUAUCAAGGCAUAGAUGGGGCAUCUGAUCGAGUUGAAAGCAUUCUGGAUUACAUUCCAACCGAGGAACGAGGGAGGACAGCCUAUCACUUCCAGCCUCCCAAAAACUGGAUGAAUGGUAUGUCUUUAACGUUCUUGGUUUCUUUCUUGCAAUUAAUUUCUUGGCAGUUCUUGUCUAUAAUAUUGUCACUUACUAUAUGUUUUCUUCUUGUGCUGGCAUAUGUUUAUGCAUACUUCUGUCAUUUGGCACUCUGGAAUCUUCUUCUUCUGCUGCCUUCUGUCCUUGGCUUCUUUCUUCUGUCAUUUGGCAUUUAUGAUGGUGAAAAUGGCAAUUGGGUGACAUGGAAUGGAACCGGUAGAUCCAAAUGGUAAGUAUUAUAUGUUUUCCAUUUCUAUUACGCAGUCUUUUGAUCUAUUUUCAAUCUCUGGAAGUCCAAAAUUUGUUUUAUUUUUGUUUCUUUGCCCGUUGAUCAAGUACAAUUAGACAGAUAGCUUCCCCUAUGACUUCAGGAUUUGCAUAUCAGAUUAUGAAGCAGCAAUUGGUAUAGAUACAUGGACGCUCCCAUCUCGGUGAUCACAUGGAGUUUCAGUCCAGUGGUUCAGUGAUUUGCUUUCGUUGAAACUAUCCUCCACAUUUUGAUCUGACAUUUUUCCAUUUUGUAUCAUGCAGGUCCAAUGUACUAUAAAGGAAUUUACCAUCUGUUCUACCAGUACAAUCCAUAUGCUGCAGUGUGGGGUGAAGGUAUUCUCUCCUGGGGACAUUCUAUAUCUUAUAAUCUGGUUGAUUGGAUUCAUCUUGAAGACGCUCUUGAUCCAACGGAUCCCUAUGACAUUAGAGGUUGCUGGUCUGGCUCUGCAACAAUUCUUCCAGGUGGAGAUCCUGCCAUCAUGUACACAGGAGUGGAAUCUACGAACCGUCAAGUCCAAAAUAUAGCAGUGCCCAAAAAUCUAUCUGAUCCGUUCCUUUUAGAAUGGGCGAAAUUGGAUCAAAAUCCUCUGAUGACUCCAGUUGAUGCCAUUGGUUCAGAAUUUUUCAGAGAUCCAACAACUGCCUGGCUGGGGAAGGACAAAAGAUGGCGAGUGGUCAUUGGAAGUGAAAUUAAUGGUCAUGGGACAGCACUUCUCUAUCAAAGUGAGGAUUUUGUACACUGGGCUAAGAGUCAUAAACCCCUUCAUUUCUCAAAUAAAACAGAUAUGUGGGAGUGUCCAGAUUUUUACCCUGUCAGUACCAAUGAUACAAAGGGAAUUGACACUUCUGGUCUAGGUAGAACUACCAAGCAUGUGUUGAAGGCAAGCUUUUUCGGUCAUGAUCACUACAUAAUAGGGACCUAUGAUUCAGAAACAGAUGAUUUCUUUCCUGAUACUGACUUCAUGGAUAGCAAUGUGAAACUGAGAUAUGAUUAUGGUAUAUACUAUGCUUCUAAAACGUUUUUCGAUGGAGCCAAGAGAAGGAGAAUAUUGUGGGAUGGGUAAAAGAGGCAGAUGAUCAAUCAGAUGACAUCAGCAAAGGAUGGUCUGGACUUCAGGUAGUUUAUAGCUUUGACUUCUAUUCUUUGCAGUUAGCCGACUUGAUUCACUCUUCUUUCUGCAUUUUCUGGCUAUCCUCUUCUAUUGUUUUGUUUUAGAAUUUCGGGAGCAUAUCAUUAAUCUGUUUCUCUAGAAGUUCAGGUUCUUCUCUCAGAUUCUCUAUUAGGUUGCUACUAUACAGUUUUCUUGAAAGAAAAUCUAAAUUUGAGUUUUGAAACAGUAGCCUUAAAGUCCUUAGACGCUAUAAUUUGAUUAAAUAACUUCUCAAGACACGCUUUAAAUCUGUGCAUAUCUCUAAACUUCAGCACGAGUGACCCAAACUGUGUUGUAGUCAUUCCCUAGAACUAUCUUGCUUGACAAAAGUGGAAAGCAACUAUCACAAUGGCCAAUCGAAGAAAUUGAGGGUUUGCGCAAAGAUGAAGUUAAUCUUCAGAAUAAGGAGAUAGAGGGAGGUAACAUAUUCGAAGUUACAGGCAUCACAGCCUCACAGGUAAAAGAAUUCAUCCAUCUAAACUUUCUGUUAUCUGGUUGAGUUGACUCGUUGCUGAAGAAAUAACAGAAACUUUUGCUGCACAGGCUGACAUAGAAGUCUCAUUUCACCUGCCAAAUCUUGAUGAUGCUGAGUUAACACAUCCCGAAUGGCUUGAUCCUCAACUUCUUUGCAGCGAAAAGAAUGCAUCAACAGGAGGAGUUAUCGGUCCAUUUGGCUUGCUGAUCUUGGCUUCAGAAAACUUGACUGAAUAUACUGCGGUCUUUUUUCAAGUAUUCAAAGGCCAUGACAAGUAUGCUGUGCUCAUGUGCAGUGAUCAAAGCAGGUAAGCAUGUAAUUCAAGUCCACCUAAAGUCAUGCAAAUCAUAGUUUGUUCCAUCAUAUGUUACAUAAUUUUACAGGUCAUCUUUGAGAGAGGAGGUCGACAUAUCCACCUUUGGGGCAUUUGUCGAUGUAGAUCCUGCAGAAAAAAUAUCACUAAGAAGCCUGGUAUGCUGCCCAUGCUCCAGAAAUUUUCUUUUGCUAAUAAAGUUGAACCAAAGAACACAUAGAUCCCUAUUACUGUCAGGUUUUCUUUACUCUCUGAUCUUGUAAUAUUGUGGGCAAAACUAUAUCUAUACUUCAACAUGAUCGGCAUAGACCCGGAAAUGGUUUACUUUAUCUGCAAUUCAUGAACUGAAACAUCUUUUUCUCGGGUCCCUUUCCUGAGAUUUUUCCUGGGCUAGACAAAAAACACUCAAGGGAUAGAUGUUUCUGCGUUUGCUACAAGAAGUGGAAAACUGAACAUGUUUCUGUUCUUCAGAGUCAGAUUUAUGCUUCACCUUUUCUUUUUUCUUUUUUUUUUUUCUUUUCUAUAGAUUGACCAUUCGAUCAUUGAAAGUUUUGGAGGUGAAGGAAAGACUUGCAUCACUUCUAGAGUCUAUCCAACGUUGGCAAUUGGUCAGGAAUCCCAUCUUUAUGUAUUCAACUAUGGCACAGAAAGUAUCAGAAUCGCCAAUUUAAGUGCUUGGAGCAUGAGGAGAGCUCAAUUUUUCCAGUCGUCCACAAAGGAAGAAAAGCCGAAAUUGAUUGAGGAAUAGAUUUUUGGCGAUCAAAUUCAAGAAAUGCUUCUGAGCUCCUGUUGCUUUAUGAUUCUUUCCAAUAUUAUCAAUCGCAUCUUUGGUAGGAUACCAGUAUGUAGCCAAGGCAUGAUGAAAUUAAUUAAUCCAGGGCAGGUUUGCUAAUAGAUACAUUGCAAUCCGCCACUGGUCUGUAAUGACCUCCUUUGUUACUUUUUCUUUUUAUUUUUUUUUAAAAUGAAUCAUUUAUAUAUGGCCCUACUCAUAGGUAGGGUUUGGAUUGGAUUUAUUUGAUUUAACUUCAUAUCAGACUUAGAUUAUAUAUAUAUAGCAUGAAAAAAAAUAACAUAAACAUAAAAGAAUUAUCAUUUUUAAAUAACAAAACUAAUAUUUUUAGAAUGUUGCAUGCAGUAAUUAGGGAGUAAAAGCAUGAGCCUCUAUCAACUAAUUCUAUCUAACGAAAAAUUUCAUUAAUUCCAAUAUUCUCUUCUUUUUCUUUUUCUUUUUUUUCUUCCAAUAACUUUGUUCCAGUCUAUGUUUUUGUUCACUUAUAGUAUCUGUGAUUUUUCUCCAUCGGCUUUUUUUUGCUGAUUUAUAUGUGCUUGCACUUUUGCAUGUGUGAUGGCAAAAACGGCGAUUGGUUGAUGUUGAACCUGUAGAUCCAAAUGGUAAGAAUUUAACAUUGGAAAUUAUGUUCCUUGGUUAAUUAUAAAGCUACAAUUGUUGUGGGAUAGACGGAACCAAAAAACUCUUAUCCAGCAGAAAAAUUUUUGUAUUAUAAAUGUUCAAAUUAACUAUCAUGCCAACUUUGAAAUAAUUUUAUACAUCAAUGGAUAAUAAUUAAUGUGAUAAAAUUCAUCAAGCAUUUCAUGAAUACAAAAUUAGACCUAAUAACUAAACAAACGUUAUGUAUUUACUUCAAAUUCGACGUGACACUUUGUCAUGGAGCCCUGUUUGGAUUGCCAUUUUCUGCCGGAAAUUGCAUCGUUUUCCAUGAUCACAUUUCCUUAUUAUUUUUUCUCUCAAAUGCAUCAAAUCGUUACAGUAAUUUUUUCAUGAAAAAUGACGGAAAAUACAAUCCAAACGGGAAGUCAAAUAAAUUACUUAUCUAACAAUGAAAACUACGCUAAACAAAGUUACUCUAUUCUUAUACUGAAGACAUAAUUCAAAUUUAUUAAAAGAGUAAAGGCCAUUAUUAGGAGGGAUAGAAACCAUAACAAAAAAAUAAUUUGAUAAGAAGUUAGAAAAAGAAAACGGUAAGACCGAGAUAUCUUUUUCUUUGCUCCUUUUCGAAAAAGUGACCCAAAUAUCUAGUUGACGCAUAAAUUCUCUUCAAUUAGACAUAUUGUUAAGAGGGAGGAAAGAAAAGUUGAUUAAAUUUACAGUUUUAGCAUUCUCUUUUUCUUAUCAUUCUAUCACUCAUAUGAAGUGCAUGUUACAUAAGGAUGUCAACUAAAAUGCUCUGAAUUCUAAUCUGAAACUUUGAUAAUUUACGCACAGUGGAAUAGUACAAGAUUUAAUCCGGUUAGCAAGUAAAUGGCAUGCAAAAAAUAAGUAAAUAAAUUAAAAAAAAAAAACACAUGCUAUAUGGAUGCUUUGGGCUAUGCUAAUUGUAAUCUGCAAAAAAAAAAAGAAAAAGAAAAUUAAAGAUGUUGUUUGCUUUUGGACUAUGCUAAAUGUACUUUACCGAUUUAGAGGAGAAUUGGGUUGAAUGGUAAAGUAGGAGGGAUUGUAAAUAGAGGGAAUUGAAUUGAAAAUCUCCCAUUCACCCAAUAUAUGUAUGUAUACACACACACACACUAGAGUCUAGAUUGCUUGAUACAGAAUCCGUUUGAUUUGGAGUUUUUUUUUUUUUUUUAAAAUACAUAAACAUUCUAUAAACAUGAUAUGUGUGAGGUAAAAAGAUAAUUCAUAAACAUUUCAAAAAAAUUCUAAAAACUUUUUGAGGAAAACUCACAAUCUACAGUGCUCUUAAUCUGGAUUAGCGAAUUUUUUUUUUUGUUACAUCAUAAACAUGUUUCUAAUCACCAUUUUAAAAAAAAUUUUCAAUCACAUUUUUAUUUCACAUACGUUACAUUCCAAAAGUACUACAUUUUUAUUCCCAAAAAAUCUUCAAUCCAAACAUUAAUGUAAUGUGAAAUGAAGAUAUAUGGAUGCUUUGCUUUGCAAUCUAUUUUCUGUAAAGUAAAUAUUGCAAUAUGUCUAUUUAUACUGACAACUUAAUCAUGACUUUUUUUUUGGUUGCGUUUUUUUUGUUUGGUGGUGCUGGGGGGGGGGGGCGGGGGUGUUCCAGGCUUCUUUGAGCUUUUGGGAAGCCAGAAAGGAUACUGUAGCAUGGAUUAUUUUACACGCUUGACCAUGCAUUCAACUUAUUGCUAACUGCCAAUUUGAGGCCUAGUUAUUCAUCCUAAUUUAAACAAUUCUACAAUCAGUUUGACAGUCCUUGGAACCAUGUGGAGGUUAAUUAUUAGUCAAAUCUUGAACUCUAUUUUAGGUUGCAAGUUGCAACUUGAUUGGCUAAUUAGCUCAUCGAGUAUGAUAUACUAUUAAUAUCCUCUUUAAUUCAUGUGUUAUUCUUGUAUGUCCAGUCUUUUUCUCUUUCUUUCUUUCCUUCUUUCUUUCUGCUUGGAUGUUUUGCCCUUCUGUUUUUGGUUGGGGUACAAAUUAGGAGUUGUUAGGUCAAUUUUAAAGACCAGAGAAAUCGAGGCUCCUAAGGAAGCUCAAUUUGUGGAAAAUGUGAGAGAUGAGUAAGUAGUAACAAACAACAAUGGGGUACUUUUUGGUAUCAAUUCAAUAAAUCUAAUGAAUGGAGGGGCCGCCGCCUAAUAUUUGAGUCAAAAUAUUUGGCACAAUCUGUCGAGAGCUGGUUAAGUGAUUGACAAGUUUUGGUAUGUGGAUGAUCAAUUGAUUUGAGGGCCACCUGCCAUACACAAAAUCUCUGAUUGCUGGAGACAAACUGUAAUCACAUUCCCAUCUCCGUGCUUCAAAAGUUUCUGUAUAGAUACUUCCGACAAAUCAUAUACAGACAAAGGGCGAUUGUAUCCCGACACUUGCCUCGAGCCAUUAGGGAGUAAUCUAAUUUUACCAAGUAGCCCAAGGCCACAAGAAAGUUUCCUAUAGAUGCAGCCUGUGGCUUUCUUGUACUCCUUACUUCCUUUCUAAUCGAAAUUUAGUACUACUUUCUUUUCUUGCAGUACUUCCUAGUAUGAUAAUGACAAUGAGUGUGUUUGGAUGGUAAAUCAUUUGAGAUAAUUUUGUGAAAUUUUUUUUUAAAAAAAAUAAAAUAAAAUACUGUAGCACUUUUUAAAUGUGAUGUAUAUGAGAUAAAAAAAUGAUUGAAAAAUGUGUUGACGAUACAAAUAAGUCAGUAUAGUCAGAGUAUAAAUAAUGUGCAAUCCAAACAAAUUGUGCGCGAGCACAAACACACUCAUCGAUAUCUUUGCGUGAACCCAAAUUGGCCAAUCAUCCAUUUUAAAAAUUUUUGUUUGUCGGAAUCCCAACGGUCAUUCGCAUAGCCCAUAUCUAGUGUUGGCCCAAUACGUUCUUGGGGUUAGCUACGAAGCCCAACAGGAAUUCACAGCAUUCGUGCGUGGUCCAGAUGUUUCCUUUAACGUGUUCUUAAUCGUUUAGAACUAAAAGCUCGAUUAACUCUCCAUAAUGUCCAGAUUCGACGGCAACUAAAAGAUAAUCAAUCGCCAUUCUAGGUUCUUAUCAUUUGGUUUGGCCUAAUUAGAUUCCUACUGGUUUAGUCUUGGAAAAUAUUUCAAACUCAAGUAAUUAAGCAUUAAGCAUUUGAUAAGUUCUCCAGUCAAUCUGUCAAAAUUAUUUUGAUAGGUUGGAAACCAAAAAAAUCAAGGGGCAUAUUGGUCUUUUAAGGGACCAUAUUAAUCCAUCUAACAAUGGUCAGAAUUGUUAACUUGCAUAAAUUAGUCAUAAUUGAAUAUUCCGGAAAUUAAUUUGAACAUGAUAUUACUGGUCUUGUAUUCUAUGGUGGGGCUAAAUCCACACCCUUAUAAUCAAGUCGAUCAAAAAGCCCGUAGCAUUUAUGGGGCUUAGUAGAAAUUUUUUCAAUAAAAAAUUAAUCUUUUUUUUUAAUGAAAAUGGAUGGUGCUAAUUUGAAUUUAAAAUUUACAUCAACCAGAAUGGUCUUAAAUUUUCCAACAUUUUUUUUUCAUUCCCUUUGAUGAUAUUUAUGUUUCCCUCUUAUUUGGUAGAGAGAAUGCUUUUCUCUCUUUUUAUCAUGUAAGAGGAGAUGAGAAGUUUUUUUUUUUUUUUUUUUAAAUUGUGUUAAAAAAACAUUUUUACCUUUUUGCCAUGUUGCACUUCAAAAUUGAUUGAAGUAUAAUUUUAGACGACACUAUCAGAUCAACAAUUAAGAAGAUGGUAUGAAAGAAUUUCAAUUAAUUAAAAUGUGUAAUUGACUUUUAAAACAUCCCUUGUCGUGUGAAUACCAAGUUUUUAUAUUGAGAAAAAAGUAUGUAUCAAACACUACAGAUCCUAUGGGCUUUGUUGUCAUCUUAAUGCUAGGGUUGGGUGCAUGGACUUAGAUUGAGGGGUGUAGAUUUAGUCCCCUCCUAAUCCUAUACUUCAACCAUGAGAUUUCAACUUAUCCACCCUUGGCAAAAGUAGCUUCCAUGGUCUUAUAGUUAAUAUUUAAACCUUUGCUUUUAAGUUACUCUAAUUGAAGAAAAAAAAAAAAGGUAAUUCUAUCUUAUAACGAGAUUGGUUUUCACAAAACAUCUAAAGACAAUUAAUGUACAUUAAAUUUCUUCACUUUUUUUGCAACCUAUUUCUACUUAGUAUCUUAAAGUAUAUCUUUUAAGUUUUUUUUUUUGAGGGAAUAUCUCUUUAAGUGCUAGGCUCUAGGGUUAGAAGAGCAGAUUGGUAUUGUGAUGAGAACUCUCUAACCUCUUAAAUACUAGCAAGCAGCUGCUGUCAUUCAAUAUCCUCAGUGAAUCACCAAGCGGAUGAAUCAUAAUCAAAUCAAAUCGGUUAACAAGUAUGCUCAAAUGAUGAUGCACAAAAAUGAAAUCUUGUAGGCGUGGGGAAAAAAAUCAAUUUAAUUUACAACUGGGGAAAAUAAAGUAAAAUUUCUAGUUUCUCCAACUAUUAAUUUGUAAACCAUAACCCGAAGGAGAUCCGUGCAAAUAUAAAAACUAUGUGCCGCAGAAGGAAAAAAUACAAGUCUCUUCUUUUGUACUUUGCUUCUGCUAUUUAUUUUGUUCAAAUUUAACAAAACAACAAACAUCCGUGAGGAAAAAAUGGAAAAGAAAGAAUUUUUUAAAAUAUAACCAAUAGUAUGCCGUCAACAUUGGCCUAAUGUUGGUCCACUUUUGUCAAGGCAACAAAAUUGGACAUGCAGGUAGAGCUGUAAACGAGCUGAAUUGAAUCGAGUAUUUCAUGUUUGAACUCUGUUCGUUAAGCGAUUCGAACAACAUUCGUGUUCAUUCGUUAAUUUUCGAACUCCAAACCUGUGUUCGUGUUCGGCUCGUUAAGCAAAGUUCAUGUUCGAGUUCGUGUUCGUAUUCAGCUCGUUUAACAUAAAUGAGCCGUUCGCGAACAUACUCGAAAUGCUCGAUCCAAAUUAUUUUAAGCCUUAAAUAUGCCAUAUAAAUCAUAAUCAUUCUAAAAAAUAAUUAAAGCACUAAAUGACUAAAUUCUAUUGUUCAUUAACUAUAUAACUAACAUUAACAUAAAAAUAAUAAAUAAAACCCUCCAAAUAUAAAAGUCUAGCCAUAAAAUUAACCCUAAAAUUUGUCAAGUGAUAAUUAUGCUCGUGUUCGUGAACGUUCGUUAAAACUCACGAACAUGCUCGUGUUCGUGUUUGCUCGAUUAUUAAUCGAACAAAAAAAUUCGUUCGAACUCUGUUCGUUUAAGGUUUCGAAUGAGUCUUUUAUGAACACGAACGUAUUGAAACAAACCGAACUACCGCAUAGUUCGGUUCGUUUAACAGCUCUACAUGCAGGUGACUCAUAAACGCUACUAUUCCAAAGUAACCCUCUAAGAACUUAGGGCAAAUAUUAUUGAGAAACCCAUAAUCAAGUUGCAUCCUCGAUGUUUUCUUGCUUAGGCUGUUUUGGAAUAUUAACUUCAUCUUUUGGCUCCUCGUCUUCACUGUAGGAAAAGAAAAGAUUUGAAUUAACAAAAAGCUUAAAAAAAUUGUAAAAGAAAGUAGCAUCUAAAUAAAAUUGAACAUAGAAACUUCCUUUAACUAGCAAAUCAAACAAGUCAAUAAAUUACAUAAACAAAUUUUAAAAAAUCUUUUCAUGAAAAGCUAAGUAGUUAGUGGGGAGUUAGCUGCAAACCUUCAUGCAAAUGAAGACUAAGUGAGGUUAUAAGAAAAAAAAAAAAAAGAUGGUGACUUCCUAUAAUAUUCCUUCUACAAAUGGUGGAGUUCUGGUUGUAAUUGAAGUUUAACGAACGAAGAUUUGGUUCGAGAAAACAGUUUAAAGAACGAAGAUUUGGUUCGAAAAAACAUGUAACUUCGUGUUGUACCACCUAAGAUACUGACUCUCACUCAACUAGUUGCAUUUUUUACUUUUAAUUCAGUUUUUUUAAGUGUUUCUUCACGCCUAUGGAUUAGCAUAAUUAUAGCAAUGCAAUCAAUACAAUUUUAAAAUCUUCCGUCAAUAUAAUAAUUAAUAUAAUUGUAAGAAAUCUGCUAAUAUAUUUAAGAUUUGACAUGCUUCCUAAAUGAUAAUUCAACCUUUAUAUUUUCAAAUCUUCAAAAAUCAUUUCAAAAUCUUUUCGAGGCAUAUUUUUCCGCAUCACCUUUUGAAUUUCUUAUUUUUAUUUCCUAUUUUAAGUAGGCAUACAGUUAUAGGUAUUAUUCAUCUUAUUCAGCUCACCUUGAACACCAUGAAAAAACUAUUAAUUGAUUGAUAAUAGAAUGAAAAUGAAACCAUUUGAAAGAAAUGACAGUACCUUGACAGAUUUAAAUUUUUUGACUCGAUUAGAUCGUGCUUGAUAUCUUCAUAUACAUCAAACAAAACUUUGAUAUCCUCAGAUCCAUCGACCAAUAAUGGAGUUGGACUAAGAUGAACAUACGACGUACUGGGAUUAAUAUCACCCUGGAUAUCUUCAUCUUUAUGCCCUGCGUACAAAUCUGCAUAACCACCAAAGUCUUCAGGCUCAGGCUGGAUAUGCAUGGAUUGUGCUCCAGCAACAUACAUGCCCGGAUUGAUGGGAUUGGGUAAAGGUUCUUCUGCACCGGUCCCGGCGGCGCUUCGAAGGCUAUGAAUAUGGGCCAAUUGGGUAAGAACAAGGUCCAAUUCAGCCCUACAAAAUUGUAUUUGUUUUUGCAUCUCUUGAAUGACUCGAUGACAGCCGCCAACAGGAUCACUUGCACGUAUAUUGGCUUGAAUAAUCAUUGAUUGCAUCGCACGAUGUCGGUCGUUUGGAUUAACAGUAUUAUAUACCUUCAUCAUAUUCCUCAACCCAAACAAUUUGUGGGCAUUUAGGAACUGCUUUUGGUGGUCGGGAGGGAAGUAUCGGGCCAAGGGACAACCCGGAGCACAUUUCCUGCGGUGGUAUUUGCAUGCAGCACAAGCCCUUGUGUCACUAGUGCUUGCACCAGCGGUUGUACGCUUAGUAUUAUUGCUAUUGCUACUGCUUGGUUCGGCUGUGUUGUUGAGAACUUUGCUCUUGUUAUCUUGGUGGUUAUUAGUACCAUUCAUGGUAGAAGUGGCAGUAAAGAUCGGCAGCAAAUGUGCCGAAGGAGGAUCCCUAUCUUUUCUCCACUUCGGUUUAUGGGAGAAAAGAGAGAGAAGAUCGAGGGAGAGAGAUCUCAGUUAUGAUAUGGAUGCGGGGAGAGGCAUAUGCCUAUCGUGUGUCGUGGGGAGGCAUACUGGGGCUACGACUCUUUUCUUUUGCAUUGAAUGGAAAAAAGGAUAUCAAUCAAAUAUUUUUGUUCAAUUAGCAGGCUACUUUCCUUUCCCCUUCUUCUCUAUUUCUCUUCUGUCUGCUUUCUUUCCUUUUUGUUGUAGUUUUUUUUUUUUUUUUCGGGUAAACCCUUUUUUUAGUUUCUUUAGUGGCAAGGAACAUGAAAUUAAUCUAUAUCACCAGUCAAAAAAAUCAAGAUUUAUUUUCUUUCAUUUUAUUUCUUACCUACUUUUUAACCUUAUUAAUCCAGAAUUUUACUAUAUGCCAAUAAGGAAGAAAUGAAAAGAGGGUGUUGUCUGCUAUGACAAAAGCUUUCAAUGGGGGAUUAUUAUUGUUGGCUUUUGACUUUGGAAACCACAUAAACCAACAUGUCUAUCAUGGUACGAUCACCUUAAAAGUUUUUAAAAUUUUAAAGCACAUGCUCUAAAGGCUACCAAAGCUUUAGUUCAAGAAAACCUCUCUUCCUCGUUACGUAGAAUACAUUUCCAACCAGAAUGAUAUAAACUAAAAAAAUUAGGGUGAGAUAAUGAGACAGUAAUUUAAGGUGAUAUAAACUAAAAAAAAAAGGGGUGAAGUUUAAAAGCUAGUGAUUAGAAGUACAAAAUUUUGGGGUUCGAUAAUUCUGAUUACUUCUUAUUCGAGGUUAGGACUUUUGCAGCUAAUUAAGAUUGUCCUUCAACAACAUUAUCCUUAUCUUGGUAGAUCUAGAAACGAAAUUUGCCGUCAAUUUGUAUGGUAGAGUUUAGACCACGGCCUAUUUGGACCAUGACUUAGCAUCUGCAAUUACCUUUGAUUUGCAUGCGUCUUAAUAUAUCGUUGGAGCCUAUUUGGACCAUGACUUGGGCUAAAACUUGUAGUACUCUGUGUUGUUGGAAAAGCUAGUACUAUAAAUGGGCAUAAUGCAAUGCAAAACAACAUGAUGGUGAUCCCGUCUUAUGACCAUAUCAUAUCCCUUAUCUUCACUGAAAUUUUGUUCGAGUAGAAGUUUAGGUACAGUUGAUUUGUUGGGAGAGAUUUUGUUCGAGUAGAAGUUUAGGUUCAAUCGAUUUGUUGUGAGAGAUGGUAAAGUGUAAAUUGGAGAAUUUGUCCAUCCUUAUAAAAGAGGUAAGUAAAAGGAAACUAGGAAGUUGAUAUACGGAUUAGGAUUAGGGACCUCUAUUCAAUCAUUGCAAAGUGGAUUUCAAACAGCCCAGGGCCAGGCCUUACCCACGAGCAAGAGUCGGACUCUGUGGGCGCAACCCGGGCCUAAUCUAGAUUAGUCUGAGCAAUGGCUCUCGAUACCGGGUGGUCUGACAAAAAAAAAAAAAAAAAAAUAGAGUUGUACAAGUGAACAGUUUAAUGACAUUUCGUGCAAUUUGCUCAAAUAGUAAUUAUGUACGCUAAUACAAAAAUAUAUAAAUCUUGAAUUUUGUAAAGUACCAUCAUAUAUAUAUUAGCAUAGUAUUGUACACUAAAUACUAAUACAAUAGAUACGUGCCCUAACCCUAAGUCCUAGGGUACCGAUGUACAAAACAUUAACAUUUAUUUAACAAUUUUUCCGAGUUUUUUCUUUUUAUGUAAGUGAGAAGUUUUGAAUUCGAAAUCUUUCACUUAUAGUCUCUUCUUCCGUACCAUCUUCUCUACCCCUUCUUACCCUGAAAAAGCAGGGGCACCUUACGUUCUUGAACCGAUAACCAUCUUUCGGCUAACCUAGCCUCCUCCGUCCCUCGGGACCGACAAACGGUAGUACAGGAAUAUUCACCUGUUGUCCAUCGACUACGCCUUUCGGCUUGAUCUUAGGCCCUGACUCACCCUCCGUGGACGAACCUUGCGGAGGAACCCUUAGGUUUUCGGGGCAUUGGAUUCUCACCAAUGUUUGCGUUACUCAAGCCGACAUUCUCGCUUCCGCUUCGUCCACCACUGCUGGCGCGGAGGCUUCUCUCUAAGGCGGAACGCUCCCCUACCGAUGUAUUUUUACAUCCCACAGCUUCGGCAGAUCGCUUAGCGUUCAACCCAUCCUUUCCUUCCUUUUUUUUUUUUUGAUUAAACAAUCAGAGUUGUUCAAUUCAAAAAGUACUUAAUCUAAACCAUACACUACACUUCACCAUCCUAUUUGCAACCGUAGAGACUCCUUAACCAUCGAUAUGUAUACUUGUCCCUCAAACCAACAGCUAAAUUCUUGUAUUAUUCUAGCAAACAGGUAUGUUAGCGACCAAGAUUUUUAGGUCUUGCUGGAUAGACUAGGUUUAAUUCCAUACCGUAUCGUUUAAACUCAAAAUUUAGGUCCUAAAUUUAUAAAAUGAAUAGAGUUCCAAUUUAAUGUCUAUAAAGCUUUAGUAAUAUUCUCAACAAAAGAUAUAUGGUGCAUUUCAUAAAUUUGAAAUCUAAAAUUUGAAAUCUGAAUCCAUUAAGUUACUGAAUUAUUAAGUACUAAAUUUGAUAUAUUUAAAUAUACAUCACAUUAAGGGAUAAGUGAAUGGUUUGUCACUUAUUUUUGGAGCAAGUUCUACGUAGAAGUGUCAUUUAAUUUAUUUAAAAGUUAUAUUUUAAGUUAUCAAACAUGUCUGAAUAUGUUAAAAUCUUAAUUCAUUAAACAUAAAUAUUGAAUUAGGUUAUUAAAUAGGACCAAAACGUUCAUUAAAAAAAAUUUCCCUAAAAAUAUAUAUUUUCUAAAGAAUAGGAAUAAAAUCUUUGUUGAAGAUUCAAUUCAAACAAAAGUCAUCUAUUAUUUUAUUGUACUAAGGAUUUGUUUAACGAAUCCCUAGGAGUACUUGUUAAUUGGAGUUUUUUGCAUUAAUGUAAUGAAAAAGUACGACUAAAGCCCUAUAUGAUAAUUCAAUUUACCACCUAAAGUUAAUAGAUUUAGAACUUCAUAUGUUCAAACAUGUUUGAUAGUAAGAAAAUAGAAUGUCUUAAUUAAUUAAGUAGCUCUGAAUUAUCUAGAUGAAACUUACUACUUUAAUAACUAAGUGAUAAAAUGUUCACUUAUCACUUAAUGCAGAAUACGCUCAAAUAUUAAUAUUUUAGUAUUUCAUAAUGCAAUAAUUUAAUAUAUUCAAUUUUCAAUUUUCAAUUUUAUCAAACGCUUCUAAAUCCAAAAAUUUGCUGAACGCAAUGCGAAAUAAAAGCUAAGAUUACUUGUAUUUAUAUGGAAUGUUGUAAGCGUUAAUAAGUGCCCAUUACAAAAUUUAAACUCAAACCCCGCUUGAGCUGACCCCGUGUGUAUUUGGAAUGCAAUGGGCUUGCGUCUAAAUUUGGGUUAUAUAGACUUGGACUUUACCCAAGCCAGUGAUUGACUUACCAGCCGACAGAAAUUUGAAAAUUGAGGCCCAAAUUCACAAAAACUGUGAUAGCUUGGGAUGCAUUUGAAUAAUAUUCAAACCAGUGACAUGUUGCCAUGAUCAAUAGACAAUGAAAAAAAUAGGGUACAUGAAUUUGAAAAACUUGGCCAAAUUCACAAAACUAUGAUGGUUUUAGGCCCCAAUAUUUGGAUAGAAUUGACAUUACUGCAAUAAUCAAUAAUCACUUGGAUAAAAAAAAAUAAAAGCUAAAAGAGAUGGGAAAUAAAAUGUUGACUUAUUAAUUACAUCUAUAAGGCACAGAGAACUUUCCUUAGCAAAUAAUAUUAGAGUAUAUUUUUUAUGCAUUGUCAGUAUAUACACAUGCGUGCGAUAUUAGGUGUAUGCCACGUAGUUUAAUCUCAAAUUUGAAAUUUAGUUUUCGUACAAAUGUCAUACAUUUAUAACUGCUAGUGUAAAACUCUUUACAUUGACAGUGUAUAAAAACUUAAUUCAUAAUAUGAGAUCAACUUCUCACUUAUAAUUUGGGGGCACACCAUUCAAUGAUCCAGUACACAUCCUUAAAUUCACACACUUAUCAGGAUGAAAACUAGACCAUCAUGCUCUCUUAUGUUCCUUUUUUUUUUCUUUCUUCUUUUUCUCUCGGGCUAGUAUUUUCAUUAUUUUCUAAACCUUGGAAACUAGGCCUUCCGCUUACAUUUAAAAAGAAAUAUAUUUUUAAAAAAUAAGUAUUAAUCCUCGUCAAUAUGUCAAUUUUCUCUAGCCUACUUAGUGGCUCCCUGAUUAUUCAGAAGUGCAAGAAGUUCCAUCUUGACAUAGAAUUGAUUCAACAUUGAUACCAAGGUAACUAAGCCAGAAAAUUGCAAGUCUAUAGCUGAAAUACAUUUGUUUUAGCUCACGGACAUAGAAUUGAUUCAAUAUUGAUGCCAAACUAACCCCAAAAAUUGCAGAUCUAUUGCUGAAAUACAUUUGUUAUAGCUUGAAAACAAAUUUGUUUUACCGUCAAUUUGUAUUGUAGAGUUUAGACCACAGCCUAUUCGGAAAUUGGACCAUGACUUAGCAUCUGCAAUAACGAUUAAUACCUUUGAUUUGCACACGUCUUAAUAUAUCCUUGGAGCCUAUUUGGACAAUGACUUAUGCUAAAACUUGCAGUCCUCUGUGUUGUUGGAAAAGCUAGUACUAUAAAUAGGCGGGAAAAAUGCAGUUUUCAUCCCGAGUGUUUGGGUGAGAGACUAAUUUCAUCCUCAAAAUUUUAGUAAUAGCACAUUUAAUCCUCAAUCAUUGUCAAUUUUGGUCAAUUUAGGACAAUUGAUAGAAAACUCUUGACAUUGGACGGAAAGUAGUCACAUGAGGUACAUGCUCCGUUAGUGUAAUUUAUUGCAGCCAACAAAAAAAAGGAAAAAUUGUCUUCUUUCUCAUUAUUUUGUCCUUUUUUAACAAUAAAGAAUUUUUCCAAUAUUCUCACUGUCGUCAAUCGGACAAUCAGCUGACUACUGGUUAGAAGAUCGGUGAAAGUGGACCCAUGAAGAACCCCAUUGAAGAAAAAUGUCCUUACAAAAAAAGAAACUAAAUGAUCGGUCACCCCCAAAACAGGGAUCUCAUUGUAAUCAUAUUGAACAUUGCUAUAUGUAAAAUAGGGAUUAGCUCAUUGUUCACUUUGGAUUUACUUUUUAUUUAUGGUCCCCAACUCAAUAGGACCAUUUAGAAGAUUAUAAAUGAUGGUGUCAAUUUGCUCCAUUGGUUUUCAUAAUCCUCUAUCUUGCUUUCUCUGGUUUUCAUAAUCCUCUGUCUUGCCUUCUUUUAUUUUUUUUUCUACAACUCAUUAAGAAUAUAUAUACGUGUAACUAUUAUCAGAAUUAAGAUUGCAAUUGUACAAAAUUGGGAACAAAUUGUGUGACCAGAAUCAUAUGUCAAAAUUGAGAUUUUAGCAAGUUUUCAUACACAAAAUAGCUUCUUUAGAAACAGAAAAUGUCCACUUCGUACGCAAAACGUACAUAAUUGAUCAAUCAACAGCUGGUUUUCAUACUUCUCUGCCGCUACUUCAAUCUACAUUUAUCCUAAAUCCUACCUCUUACAAACAAAGGAUUAUCCAACUAGCAUUCUAGCAAACACAUUUGUUUCCACAAAAUACAAUCACAGCCUGGCAAAUUUAGCAAGAUUUCAUACUAGACUUGGCAACAACUUGCCCCAGUUUCUAUUUGCUUUGCCUGUUCUCCUCCAACUCAAAACCAACAACACCAUUAAGACCACAAUAAUGUCAAUGAAAAUUUUCUCCCUCUUUCAUAUCUUUUCAACUAUUUCUUUCAACUUAUUCACCUUUUAUGGUAAACCAGCUAUAAGUACCCUUCCUCUUGGACCAAUUUCCUCUUCAGCCUAUCAAAAUACUUGCACCUGUCGAGCCUCUAAUAAAACAUGAUUCAAAAAUUUGUUAAAAUCAAAGUUUUACUGGUGUGUCAAUAAUACAAUGAGUUCUUACCGGCCACAAAGAACAACCAAGAAUCUUUUUUCGAAUUGUCUCCUCGCUAAGAAGUUGUUAGUUUUGUCCUUAACUCACAAUUGCAGACAGGUAUUGAUGAAAUCGAAGAAGCAGAACUUCUACUUCUUAUUUUAGCACUCUAGGUUCUCUAUGCCUCCGCUAUUAUAGGUAGAAUAAUAGGUAUUUACCAUGGUGAAACUUUGCCUGCAAAACUUAGGGCUAGAAAAAACAGAGCAUAUACUCAAGAAAUGAGAAAUGAAUGAAAAAAGAAGAUAGUUUUUCCCAUUUUAUUGGCUGCAAUAAAUUAAACUAACAGAGUAUGCUUCUCACGUGACUACUUUCCAUCCAAUUUCAAGAGUUUUUUGUCAAUUGUCCUAAAUUGAUCAAAAUUGAUAAUGUUUGAGGAUUAAAUGUGUUCUUGUUGAAACUUUGAGGACGAAAUUGGUCGCUCACCCAAACAUUGGGGGGGAUGAAAAGUGUAUUUUUCCCAUAAAUAGGCAUAAUGCAAUGCAAAAUAAUAUGAUGGUGAUCCCGUCUUAUGACCAUAUCAUAUCCCUUAUCUUCACUGAAAUUUUGUUCGAGUAGAAGUUUAGGUUCAAUCGAUUUCUUUGGACAGAUGGUAAAGUGUAGAUUGGAGAAUUUGUCCAUCCUUAUAAAAGAGGUGAGUGAAAGGAAACUAGGAAGUUGAUAUACGGAUUAAGGACCUCCAUUCGAUCAUUGCAAAGUAGAGUUGUUUAACGAAUCCCUAGGAGUACUUGCUAAUUGGAGUUUUCUGCGUUAAUGAAAUGAAAAAGUACGACUAAAGCCCUAUAUGAUAAUUCAAUUUACCACCUAAAGUUAAUAGAUUCAAAACUUCAUAUGUUCAAAUGUGUUUGAUAAUAAAAAAAAUAAAACGCCUUAAUUAAUUAAAUGGUUCUGAAUUAUUCAGAUGAAACUUAAUACUUUAAUAACUAAGUGAUAAAAUAUUCAUUUAUCACUUCAUGUAGAAUAUACUCAAAUAUUAAUAUUUUAGUAUUUCAUAAUGUAAUAAUUUAACAUAUUAAAAUUUCAAAUUUUAAUUUUAUCAAACGCCUCUGAAGCCAAAAAUUAGCUGAAUGCAAUGCGAAAUGAUAGCUAUGAUUAAUUGUAUCUAUAUGGAAUGUUGUAAGCGUUAAUAAGUGCCCAUUACAAAAUUAAACUCAAACCCCGCUUGAGCUGACCCCGGUGUGUAGUUGGUAUGCAAUGGGCUUGCGUCUAAAUUUGGGUAAUAUAUGGACUUGGCUUUUCCCAAGCCAGUGAUUGACUUACCAUUUGACAUGAAUUUGAAAAUUGAGGCCCAAGUUCACAAAAAAUUGUGAUAGCUUGGGCUGCAUUUUAAUAAUAUUCAAACCAUUGACAUGUUGCCAAGAUCAAUAGACAACGAAAAAAGUAGCGGCCAUGAAUCCAAAUUCACAAAACUAUGAUGGUUUUAGGCCGCAAUAUUUGGAUAGACACAAACAAUUGACAUUACUGCGAUAAUCAAUAAUUACUUGGAUUAAAAAAAAUAAAAGCUAAAAGAGACGGGAAAGAAAAUGUUGACCUAUUAAUUACAUGUAUAAGGCACAAACAACUUCCCUUAGCAAAUAAUAUUAGGAUAUAUUUUGUAUACAUUAUCAGUAUAUACACAUGCGUGCGAUAUUAGGUGUAUGCCACGUAGUUUAAUCUCAAAUUUGAAAUUCAGUUUUCGUACAAAUGUCAUACAUUUACAGUUACUAGUAUAAAACCUUUACAUUGACAGUGUCUAAAAGCUUAAUUCAUAAUAUGAGAUCAACUUUUCACUUAUCAUUUGGGGCACACCAUCCGGUGAUCCAAUACACAUCCUUAAAUUCACGCACUUAUCAGGAUGAAAACUAGGACAUCAUGCUCUCUUAUGUUCCUUUUUUUUUCUUUCUUCUUUUUCUCUCCAUGCUAGUGUUUUCAUUAUUUUCUAAACUUUGGAAACUAGGCCUCAAAUUUUUAGUUGCUAACGACCUAGACAGGAAAAAAUUGACCAACCACUAAGGACUUCCAUUCCAUGUAAAUGAUUGGCCUCAAUUUUUAAUGUACUAAUGUACCUUGGUGCUAAGAUAAACAAAAUUUCAGUGUGCUUGAGAUAAAGGAAACAAGUACUAAUUUGGUUGGGGGGGAAGGGUUGUGUAGUUUGGGGAGAGGGAGUAUAAAUAAGAGAUCUUUGUUUCAAGCCUUCCGCUUACACUUAAAAGAAAUCUAUUAGAAAAAACAAGUAUUAAUCAUAGUCAAUAUGUCAAUUUUCCCCAGCCUACUUUGUGGUUCCCUAAUUAUUCAGAAGUGCAAGAAGUUCCAUCUUGACAUAGUAUUGAUUUAACACUGAUACCGAGGUAACUAAGCCAGAAAAUUGCAACAGCCUACUUAGUGGGUUCCCUAAUUCUCCAGAAGUGCAAGAAAUUCCAUCUUGACAUGGUUAUGAUAGUUAGUGGGUUCCCUGAUUCUCCAGAAGCGCAAGAAGUUCCGUCUUGACAUAGAAUUUAUUCAACAUUGAUACCGAGGUAACUAAGCCGUCUUGACAUAGAAUUUAUUCAACAUUGAUACCGAGGUAACUAAGCCAGAAAAUUGCAAGAAGUUCCGUCUUGACAUAGAAUUGAUUCAACAUUGAUACCGAGGUAACUAAGCCAGAAAAUUGCAAGUCUAUUGCUGAAAUACAUUUGUUUUAGCUCAUGAACAUAGAAUUGAUUCAAUAUUGAUACCGAGCUAACCCCGAAAAUUGCAGGUCUAUUGCUGAAAUACAUUUGUUUUUAGCUUGAAUACACUUUUGUUGGUUAGUAUCAUCCUUGACUCUUGUGGUUGGGAGGUAGGGUUACAAACACUCAAGUAUACUUCCAAAGAAUGUAGCAUACAUUGUUAAUAUUGACCAUUUCAGUAAUCAACAAAUUGAAACCAACAUUGCAAAGGAGGAUAAGAAUACGAGUAGAUGCAGACCAAGCCAAGGAUGACUAAAAAUUCGCCACUAAGUUCCUGGACCAAUUCCCAUUCCAGCAUGGCACUUCCUACCACAUCCUGUCGACGUCAAAUUUGUUGUAACCAUUUGCACAGCUAUUUCAUUGAAUCCGUCUUAUUUCCAAGACAAAAAUAAUUUAUCUUAGUAAUUAGAAGACUGGAUACGAUCCAAAGACCACAUGUUUGGAUCACAUGACUUGUCACUGAGUUGAAGUUUCCUAAGCAGUUUUUCUUGCUGACGAGACACCAUAACAACACAAAACAAAAGUUUAUUACUUUAGCAGCAAAAGUGAAGGGAUAGUUAACUGUACGUGGUGGAAUAAGGAAGAAAUGAGAGCUAUAGCACUUGCAAGUAGAAAAAGGCCGUCCGAAAAGAUAUGACCUGAUCCACAGCCAACAUUAGCUGAUAUCACUCAAAUGCAGAUUGGAGACAUUUAUUCAAAGCCUCCAAAAAAUGGUAGAAGAUGGACCAUAUGAAUGUGUCUGACUAUUACACAUAUGAGAUGGGAAAUGUUUUCCUGAUAUCACAAUCAUAAAGCAUGAAAGAAUGUAAUGGAGAGACUUAAUCUCGCACCAAAAGCUGCAAUAACCAUAAAUAAUUUGACUUACAAAUUGUGACUAAAAAUAAAGCUUUAAAGAUUUUGCUCUCAACCGUGAGUAUUAACGGCUUCCCAGACUAGAUUCUUUGGAACAGGCUUGGUGAAAUCACGAGCCUGCAAUGCUGCAUUUCUAAGUGUCUUGCACGUCAUCACGUUGGCCUCCCAAAAUGAUGCAGCAUUAUAGGGCAAACCAUGCUUCUUGCAGAGCUCCUUUACAAAAGGUGAAAUUUUCCGAAGUUGGCAUCUGGGCAACCUGGGAAACAAAUGAUGCUCGGUCUGAAAUUGCAAGCCACCAUGAAACCAAUCCAUCCAGGACGGGCACAAAAUAUCAAGAGUUCCACUAGUUUGCUUCUCAAACCAAUCAUGUCCAGUAGGUGGCCCAACAUAAACGCUAGUGGAGAAAUGGUUCAAGCAAAAUUGAACAUGCUGAAUUCCAGUUACCGAGAAACUAGCCACAACAAACAUUAGCCUUUCACCCCAGUUGGGCAAACAAGACACCAGAAGUGGGUACCAAAUCCAAAAUACAAGCAGCCCCAAGAGCUCCUGACCCCUUCGUGGCACGCUUCUCUUGGACGACGACAACAAUAUAAAUGAUUGAGCAAACAAAUUGAUUCUAGCAAAACACAUAACAGGAUAAAAUGUCCAAUGCUGAUUACUAACUAGGAACCUAGCAACUGAAUCAAAAGCCAUCUUCCUCUCAUAAAAAUAAGAAGUGAGUGAAUUGAAAAGCUUGGGAGAUACCGCAAAGAAAGGCAUGUGUUGAAGAUCAGGGUCAAAUUCAAGACUGUUGCAAGCAAUGUGAUGAGCAUUAUGGUUCCACUUCCACCAAGCAAUACUGAUUCCUGCAAGACAAUUCCCACUCAGGAUCUGAGCGAAUCGGUUGAUGCCACGAGUCGUCAUUACCUGAUAAUGCCCUGAAUCAUGCCCAAUCCACCCACUCUGAAUCCAAAGGAACCCCAUCAAUCCACCACAAAUCAAAUGAACCAAAACCCUUUCACAGCAUAAAACACCAUAGACACUCAAACAGAACAGCACUGCCAUGAAGCACAUGCUCAAUAAAACCCCGUGCCCUUUCUGCUCAAACAAUCCCAUUUUGUUAAACUCAUAAACGAGCUUCCUGUAAUCCUUAGACACCUCAGAGACAGAAUAGUCUUUCAGAUAAAACCCAUUAAAGAACUUAUCGAGGAACUUCCAGGCUGUACCUGGAUGAAAUGCUACAAAGGCAUCAGUCGCAUCUUGGCCUGAAAGAUUCAAGAGUGGGAAUGCACCACCUGGAUGUUCUUUCACCCAAUCUGAGACAUCAUAAAUCUUGCCCUGAAUGGAGAUCCACAGAUCCCCUGGUUUGUUAUGCUUCUUGAGCUCAUCAGAGGUAAUGUAGCUCUUAGAUUCAGCCAUAGAUCCAAGAAGGGAACACAAUUAAAAGUCCAAACCUUUUUAGUAGUAAAAUGAGAAAGGGAUCCGAGAAGAACCCUUUUGUUUCUUCUCUUUCCCCCUUUCUUGAACUGAAGAAAAUGCGAAAAAGUAGAAGAAAUUUUUUAGGUCAUUGGAAGAAGGACGGAGGAAGGAUCACUUCUUAGAGCGAAGCGGGGUGAGGCGGAGUGUGAUUGCACAAGUGAAGAUAUCUGAUAUAGGGUGUGGGGAUUUAAGAAGCGCCACAGAAUGCUUUAAAUGGAUAUAUGUCAUGUUCAACAAAAGCAGAGGAGAGUGGGCGUCAGCUGUGCAAAUAACAAAUCAGAAUGGCAUCAUGAUUUACAAAAUCUUUGCCCUUACUAAAUACUACAGAUUACUUGAAAGUGGUAGUAUUUAUUAUUAUUAUUUUUUGUUUCCUUUGAUAUGGCUUGUACAACUUUUCUCAUAAAUUGGUACAAUUAGCUUAUGGACCGAGUGUGUGUGGAUAGGAGAUUAUUUGAAGUAAAAACUGAAACAUUUUUUAUGGUGUGAUAUAUAUAAGAUAAAAAGGUAAUUAAGAAGAUAAAAAUAUGUGUUUAAAAUUGCGUUUGUGAUGCAAGUAAAUAAUAAUAGUUAUUCAAAGUAUAAAAAAACUUUUUCAAUAAAAUUUUUUUUUUACUUGUAUCAUAAACACGUUAUUAAACCCUCUUUUUAAAAUUUUCAACAUUUUUUUAUUUUAGAUGCGUCAUAUAAUAUCACAUCAUGAAAGUAUUAUAAUGAUUAUCUAAAAUAAUGUUUCAAAUAAUAUAUUAUUAUAUCCGAACUAAUACUAAUGCAAUAUUAGGAUACAAAUUCCACCUCAAGAGUUGAUCCAAUAACUUCAUAUUUUUGGAGGUCAAGACAUUAAUUGCGUUCAUGUUAGUGAAGAAGAAGUGAUGGUAGAUUAACAUCUAAUCAAUUCAUUUUCAUGCAUUAAGCUCUCUAUUCGAGAAGGUAUGAAGAUGGAUACUCUUGCAUUAAAUUGAUGUGUGGAGAAAAAUAUCAAUUUGGGAGCUAUAGUAUCAUGGAAACUUUUGAUGGCAUCAUAGGGAGUACUUUUAACAGGAAAGGAUAUCACAAGAACUCAAGAAGUAAGAAGGAGACAUAUUUAGGACUUGUUAAAUCCAUACUUAAAUCGGACUCAUUAUUUGAACAUGUCAAGUGUUACCCCUUAAACAUCAAAACUUUAUAUACAAUACUUACUUAAUUUGGACUCAUAAUUUUUUUUUUUUUUUAAGGAAUUGGUCUCAUCAUUUGAACAAGUGUUACCCCUUAAACACCAAAAUCUUUUAAUACUUUCUCGGGUCUUUGGCUGCUUUAUCCGGAGGUGUUUGCUUCGCAUUUUAAAAAUCAAUAUCAGAAACUAUAAAAAAAAAAAAAAAUCAAUAUCAGAGUCAGGAAGAUCAAACCCUAUAUGGGCAUGGGUAUAGGUUAUCGACAAUCCCCAUGAAAUAUUUGGUUUGAAAGUAAUAUCAUUUUUAUCCUAUUAAGAAUCAAGAUAGAUUUAAGUGUUAAUUUCUUCAAAAACAAGUAUAAUUAUUUCUUCAAAAACAUGAUAAAUUAGGUGGAAAUACAUCAAAUGCCCAUCCAUCAAUUUGAAACCUAAAUAAACUAAGCAAUAAUAAACGGUUUUUCUAACGGAUGUUCGAUAUGCAGUUGUUAAUACAUUUAAAUCAUAGCUAACCUACCGUGUAAAUACAUAUACUAGCAAUUAUUAUCUUCAUUUGUAUCUAUACACUUUUCCUAAUUAAAUUUACAUUUUCAAAAAUUAACACUCGAGCUAUUUCCUAAUGAGUGACCAUUGGAUACUUCUAAUUCUACCGAAUGAUUCACCAAAAAUUAUUGGGCACUCUUCACACAAACCAAUAAUAAAUUGCAACAAUUAACACUUCUAGACUCUCUAUUAUUGAAUGAUUUUGGUAGUCAUCUAGGAACAACAAAUACCCUUAUCAAAUACCCUUUAAAUGAUACACCCCAUCUUAUUAGGGUGACAGUCUCUAACAUGAUCCUUCAUUUUGUAUGGGCGUACACACCAAAAGAUGUAGGUGAGGAUCCAAAACCCCUGCCGAGAUCUGAAACUUGUGUUUGGAUUGUAAUUUUUUUUAAAAAAAUUAUUAUAUUUUUCGUGGACAUAUUUUUUAAUUGUUUUUUUAUUUUAUAUAUAUCAAAUUAUUACAAUAUUUUUUCUAUAUAAAAGGUCCAGAAAAAUACAAUACGAACAAAGUCUUUAAUUUACUGUGAUCCUGUCGAAAUUCGUCCGGAUUUUCUUUGAAAUGCAAGAUUUCCGGGGGCGUUUAAGACGGUUGAACCGUGAAAUUGGUAGGGCGGAGUUGAAUGGUGGUUCGGCGCAGUUUUGUAUGGUUCUGCAAUAACAGGUCAGACUGGUCAGUGACUUAGAAAUGCACGUGGGUGGGGUGGGAGUACGGGACAACGUUGGACUUGCGCGGCUGGCGUCUACAGUUACCUGUUCCCUACUUUUUUGCCACAAAAAGUAUAAGGUUUAUUUAACAAUUUUCCGUCGUUUGGAGUUGGCACGAAUGAUUUCGGGAUAACUUAAUUACGUUCUGUGAUCGUACGUUCAAGUUACCUCUUUAUCGCUUGUGUAUCUUUGGGGAUAAGGUGCACAGACAUAAAAAAAUUAGUCUGAUAAAACUGAAAUACUCCUUAUAUCGAAAAAAAAAUUUAACAAUAUUUCAAAUGAGUAUUCCUUAUUAUACCUAAAUUAUACUACAUGACUUGUUAUGUUAAUAUACACAAUCACAAUGAACACACAUAGGCCUGUCAACGGUCCAGGUCUAGACCCGGACUCGGAUUGGAUCUGUGAAUUUUUUGCGGGUACGGGUAGGAAUUUAAUUCUGUUACCCGGACUCGGAUCCGGAGUCGGAUACGGAAUAUAGUAUUCCGACCCGUAUUAGACCAGCAUUCGGAUAUAAAUGGAUUAAUAAUUUUAAAUAUAUAUAUUUAUCAAUAUAAUUAGAUUAGGGUGAUGUAUUUGAAUAAAGUCAAUUUGAUUUCUUUUCUUAUUUAGUUUUUUUGUAUUAAUUAGAAAUUAGUUUACAAAUAUAUUUUUUCUCAUUUUUUAUUAGAAGCCCGACCCGGAUCCGAAUCCGGAACAUAGAGUAGGAGAUCUGUCGAGUAAAUGGGUCGGAUCCGGUUUCGGAUCCGGUUCCGAUAUGAUAUGUUGGGUCUGGGUCCGAAAUAAUAAAUUCUAGCCCAGAUCCAAUCCGGAUCUGAAACAUAGAGUAGAAGAUCCGUCAAGUAAAUGGGUCGGAUCCGGAUCUGAUAUAAUAUGCUGGGUCCGGAUCCGAAAUAAUAAAUUCUGACCCAGACCCGACCCGUUGACAGGCCUAAACACACACCCCUUACAUAGAACAGAAUAUUGAGGCUAUUUAGGCAGACUGUGUUAUUGAAAUCUACUUAUAGUUUUUUUGUGGUGACGCAAAUUAAUUCGGAAAAUGACAUAAGAAUUACUUUUUUAUUCUUUUAUUUUAAUUCAAAGGAGAUCCUAAAGUUUACAAAGGGAAAAAAAAUAGAAGGGAAGACUUGAGAGUUAAACUAAGGAUGCCAUGGUCUCUAAGUUAAAACUGGGUUGGAUCUUAAAAGGACGUACAGAAUCAUGUAUGUUUAGCAACUUAGCAUUUGCACAUAAUGUUUGGAGCUUUACAAAAGACCAUUUUCAUAAACUAGAAAGCGUUGCGGAUGGCAGCAAACAAACUCUCUUACUAUAAAACCAGGAGAAUAGGCUUUUUGUCCUUUUUUUUGGUUGUAAGUAAAACUUGACGAGUGCAGGUUUUUCCUCUUGAAACAAUUUUAUCACAAGCUCUAAAAUAGUGCUUCAAAAUCAAGUGCUGUCACAAUUGUCCUGAUUUGGUAGAUAUUUGAUGCCAAACCAAAGAUAAUUUUUAGACAAUUAGAGUAAUAGCUGUCUUACCUAAUCAUCCCCGAGAGGAAAAUAAAAACCCAAAAAAAAAAUUUGACUGUUAGAUAUUGUUCAUUAUGGAAAGAAGAACUCCAUCAAGAAUUGGCUCAAAUAAGGUUGAUCUUGAUUCUAUCAUUUUUUUUUUUACGUGUGACAAAUACUUUUGGAUAUCAAAUUUUUUCAAAUAAUAUUUCACUUAUAUCAUAAUCAUAUCUUUAUUUUACAUAUAUUAUAUUAUAAAAAAUAUUAUAAUAAUUAUUUUAAAUAAUAACUCUAUUCUGUCCACACAAACUUACCUAAUUAUAAAAGGCUGUACUGACCAUACAACAAGCUUUGGUUGCAUGGCUGUACUGACCAUACAAAAUUAAAUGACUGCAACUUGCAAGAUGGGAAUAUGCCUCUUGCAUGUGCUUUCCGUCUAUGAAUGAAAAACAUCUGUCCAAAGGCAAAGAAAUUUCGUGGUAGGUGGGAUACAGUGAUAGGAUGGGACAAGAUCUAUAAGUAAUUUUGGCUUUUUAUUGUGUUUGGCACUGGUGUCAAUGUUGAGGGAGGUUUCGUGACAAGGGAGGUUGAGUGUCAGUCAUGAAUCUUGCCGGGGGACACGAUUAUGCAAAAUGAUUUCCUUGUACUAUGUUAAGGCUUGACUAAUCAUUUGCAAUUGACCUACAAAAACAUCAAAGGUAACUAAAAAUCACCUUAGACUGUGCUUAGCAGUAGAAUUUCAAUUAACUCUAAACGUUAAUCUAAUUUUGUUGUAUGAUUUCAAUUAUUGAAAAAAUCAAGAAAUUUGGUAAGGCAGUGCUCGAGGGAGGGGAUGGAUCAUCCAUCCCACAUUAACAGAUCGUGGAUAGUUACCCUGGAUUUAAAGUUCUCAACUGCACUUUCUCAUCAAGGGAAUUGUGGGUUCAGUUCCUCAAAGUCUCCAAGUUAAAUUUUAUGGUAUUAUAUUAGUAUCUUAUUGAUAUACUUUGCCGUACGUAGUUUAGGGUUGUUUUCACUUCAAUAUGGUAACAAGAAGAAGAAGAAGAAGAAGAUGAGGAGGACGAGGAGAAGGAGAAUUGUUGCAACUUGCAAAGCCAAUGAGCUGGUGGUGCUAAAUCAAAUAGUUUAUAGUUCUUUUUUUUUAAGUAGAUUUUUUUUUUAUUUUCUCAAACGCUCGUGUGUUUUCUUUAACUUGAAAAUUUGAGGUCAUCAACCAGAAUUGUCACUCGUGUGACCUUCAACCUUUUGGGUAAAUGAUAUAAACAUUAUUGAAGAUUAAUAUUAGUGGCUGUGAGAGUUCAGAAAUGAGAAAUCCUGAUGGAGACUAGAUACCAAAUGACGGGGGAAUAAGUACGAUUGUUAGUACAAGCGUUCUUGAAUAAUGUAAUUAUUAUUGGGAGAAUGGAUGGGUUGGGUGGUUUGAAAGGAAGGAACGUAAGUGAGAGAUUUCGAAUUCAAGCAUUCACGCUUACACUAAAAGGACAAAAAAAAAAAAGAAAAGAACAAUGUAAUUGUUAUUAAUUAAACACACUGUAAUGCACUAUAAACUAUAUGUAUAAUUUUAUAACAUAGAUAUUAUACUUACUAAUGAGUCCUUAGAUUUGAAAAGUUUUGAAUCGUAAAACGUUAUCAAAAAGCAAUGGAGACACAAAAGGUGCAUUUGUCAUCAUAUUAGUAAACACUUAUCUAUUAUUUUGUACAUUAAUUGAUUAAACUUUCGCUAAUAUGUUUAUAACAUCGUGCUAACACCAUCCAGUUUUUGAAUUCCAGUUAAACCCCCUUCGCCUCUGACUCCUAAGCUUCACCGAUUCGCCUCCUAGUCCAUGAUUAAAAACAUAGGCUCACACUUCACACAAAGUAUUUUCUUUUCUGUAAACAGUGCUUCAAUAUACUUUUAGUAAAAUUAAACAUAUUGUUUGCUCAUUCAUUUCUUUUCUUAUCACCCUAUACUCAUCUCCUUCCUCCUUCCCCACCAUUUUUUAUUUAUUAUUUAUUUUAUCAAGAAAAGGGCGAGAUACAAAAAGUACCGGAAAUUCUAAUUUCAAGGGUCUCAACCUCUCUUCCCCCGGCCAAUGGGCGCUGUAAUAGAUUAACCAUCAUGAUACUUGGUAGUAUUUAUUAGUGAUUCAAAUUUUAUUAAAUAACUGAUGUAGAGGAGGAGGGAUGAAUUGGAUGAUUUGGACGGAGGGAAUAUAGGUGAGAAGUUUUGGAUUCAAGUCUUCUUAUUUACACUUAAAAACAAAAAAUUGGUGUAAGAAAAGGUGGAAUCUAUUCCAGAAGAAGUAGAAUUUUAGAAAAAUAAAAAGUAGUGGAACUAACAAAAUUGUUCGGGCCAGCCCAACCAAAGAUGAGAAGACAACAAUUCAAAAGUGCUUGGGCCUAUCGACUAAGUAAAGUGAAGGAAUUCGAGGGAACUGUCUUUCACAGUUGGUUUGUUGUUGUUUGGAAAAAUGAUGAGUAGGAUGAUUCCACUUCUGAUCCUCGGCCCUCCUCACUCUUCAAAUCCUGACAAAUUCGUGAUUUAGACACAAGGAAAAUGGCAGCGGAAAAACCACAGCCGGUUCAAGUUCCCUACUGCCAGGUUUGCACGUUACCUGCAGAGUACUGCGAAUUCGGGCGGGAUUUUGAGAAAUGCAAGCCCUGGUUGAUCCGCAACGUUCCCAAUCUCUACCCACACCUCCUCCAAGGUUGCACUAAUCCUUUUAAUUUUUUUCCCCAAUAAACAUUUUCUCUUUUUUAUGCUAGAAUUAAAUACCAUACUUGCUCACCAGUUUCAUUUUUUUUUUUUAAAUUUUAAUUCUUUUGGGGGGUUUUGUUUGGUAGAGGCGAAUGAUAAAGAAGCAGAGAAGCUAUCAGAGCAGCUUCAAGGGUCUGGUAUAUCCCCAGCUGGAUCACCAGCUGCAACCGCUGGUGAGUUUUUUUUUGUUUUUUAAUAUACUCGUGAUCAAGCACAUUUUUGAGAUUUUGUUUUGUUUUUAUAUUUUAAGCAAUUGCUAAUUGGAAUCUGUUAUAAUUUAGAUUACUAGAAUGCUGAAAGUGGAAAGUUUGAAAAAAAAAAAGAAUGUUUAAGGUAUAGAUAUCUGUAUUGUUUCAGCCAUUGUUAUGCAUCUGCAUCUUUCAGCAAAUUUUUACAACAGGAAAGAAGUGAUUUUUUUUUCCUGUGGAAAAGCUUAUCAGAGAGAGAUGAAUUGGCAUCUUAUUGAAUCAUAUGUAGAAUGAAAUUUCUAUGACAAGCAGAUUAAUACCUGAAACCAUUUUGCCUUCAAAGUUUAGUUUCUAAGUGAGCAGCUUGUAAUCUGGCAAACUGUAUAUCUAAGUUGUAGCUGAAGAGUAUCUUUACCAGACUAGAGAUGUCUGUAUUGAUUCUGGUUAUACUUUACCAAGUUUCGGUGCAUUUUAGGGGAACCUUCAGCCAGCAAGCAAGAAGAUGUCAAACGACUUCCUGGUGGAAAAAUUAAGAGAAAGGUAAGUCUUAUCUUCUAAGCACCGUCAGUUUUGGUUGUUUAGCUAGCUGGCUAAAAUGUUUUGGCAAGAAGAAAGUUUUUCAUAUCAAUAGCUAAUCUAUGAAAUAGGGUGCUGUUUCUUUGGUUAGAUAAAUAAUUUUCAAUAUUAAGAUGCGAAUUGUACAUGUUCAGGAAGGUUGCAUAACAAACUACAUGCAGGAUUAUAUAUGAAUCUGGCAUAUACUAUUGUUUACAUGUCUAUAUGGUGGAAAUUUUGACAUAUAUGUGAACAUCAGUUAAUUUCACACCCACAUCUAUUCAUUUUAGUCAUGGAUAUCCAUGGCUUCAAAUUCUUCAUGCUGGGAUGUUUUCAUGCUCACUUGUUUUACACUAAGCCUGAAUUCUGAUCAGAGUGUGUAACCACGUUAAUUUGUGGUGUUGUUUGGCUUUAUGUCAUGACUUUUAUGUGGUUUUGCUUGAUAUGAACAGCACAUUGGGUGGUAGUGACUCAUGAAAACGGGGAUUUAAUGUAUCUGAAUCGACGGCAUACGUAAUGAAGUUUUUUUUGAAAAUCUAUUUUAAUGCUUUAUUAUUCAAAUUUUCUUUUCGAGCUAAUAAUCCAAAAUGUCUUCUUGCAAUUGCUACCUGAUCUGUUUAUUCACAACAAUUAGUGAUACAUAAACUUUGUAAAAUAUUAGAGCAAAUCAGUUGUUACUUCCCCCCCCCCCCCUUCCUCCCAAAAAAAAGGGAAAAAAAUCCUUCUUGUACUUUAUUGUUGUUUGGUCGAUAGAUUCCCAUUACUCAGAUACAGUAUAUGUGCAAAUGAUGGAAUGCUGUUUCUGUUAACACUUUUGUGUUUUUUGAUGCUUGACAUUUUGGCCAUCAAGGAUGGUUAAGUGAUGAUGAUUCUGCUGGAAAACUAACAAAGACUGACACAUGCUGAUGGAGAUAUUUUGCAGGAGAAACAAGAAGUUGUUAUUGAAAAGAUUGUGCGGAAUAAACGCAAAUGUAUCACCACAGUAAAAGGAUUAGAACUAUUUGGUAAGUAUGAUGCUGAUUUCAUUCUAUGAAAACUUGAAAUUAAUUUGAUGUGGAGUUCAGACAUUGUUAAUACAUGUUGCAGGUAUUAAACUUAGUGAUGCUUCAAAGAAGUUUGGAAAGAAAUUUGCUACAGGUGCAUCUGUAGUUAAGGUAAUAGCUAAUUGGGUGAUGCAUUUGUAGCAUUAUAUGUGUUGGUUGACUGUACCAUUUGUUGCUGGUUGUAGGGACCGACUGAGAAGGAUCAAAUUGAUGUUCAAGGAGAUAUUGCUUAUGACGUAGUAGACUUCAUUAGAGAAACAUGGGCUGAGGUAACUUCCUGAGACCGCUUCUCUUUUAGUUGGAUUUUGAUUCAAAAGACUUGAUUUUGCGAAAUAGGAAGACACUUUUGUGGUAGAAAAACAUUGACAGUUAAAUGUACUCCUGCUGAAUCAGAAGGCUAUAUAAAUUGUUACUGGAAAUUGAUAAAGGCGCAUAAGGGUUAGUCCUUGCUCCAUAAUGUUGUAUAUGACAGUUCAUUUGAUAUUCUCGUAUGUUUUUUGUUUAAAUGUUGAAUGUGCUCGUAGCAUGCCGCUAGUCUGUUUUUCGUUUUUGGUUCUUGUAAAAUUGCAUCAACUGUGAGAAUUAUUUAAAAAGGAAUACAAUUCCUGAAAAUCCAGGUAUUUUUGUUCAGUCUAAAUUAUUCUCUUUAUGCUGUGCCAUUCCAGGUGCCAGAAAGCGCUAUAUUCUUUAUUGAGGAUGGGAAAAGGGUAUCUGCAGCUUGAGCUUUUAGUUUGUGCCAUGAGGAGUUGAUGCUAAAUUUUGGUCGCAUGCUAGCAGAGAUUUUGAGUUGAUGACAUGCUGGAAAGCAAUCUCUCUUUUGUGCCUGUUAUUAGGCCUGUCAAUCGGGCCUAAUGAACCGGGCUUUGAUGAGUUCAAACUCAGCUCAUUUAAUUUGAGACAUUUUCGGGCUUCGGGCUAUGAGUUUCGGGUUCGUAAAUGUGAAGCUCAUACUCAGCUCACAUAAUAUUCGGAUUGUGAGCCUUAAUCGGGCUUAGCCCAAGCUCACUUAUUACUCCUGAAUUUUCUUAAUAUAAUUGCUAUAACUAUUAAGUUGUAAAACUAAUUUAACAUUUACAAGACUAUAAUAUUAAAACUAAACAUGAACAAAUAAUAGUUCUUAAAAAGUAUAUAAACCAAAAUUUUUUCAACAAUAUUUAUAUGUAAUCCGUUUAAAAUGCAUGAAAAAUAGUAAUAAAACAUGCAAUCAUAAGCCAAUACAUCUUUAAAAGUUGAAACUUUUUUUUAUAAUCUUGUGAUUUAAAUCCAAAUAUGCUUGAUGAUUUUUGUGUUUGUAGACCAAAAAAAAAAAAUCAACCAAUAAUAUGCCAAUACAAAAAGUUACUCAACCAAUAAGAAAAAUUAGAGAUUUAGUUAUGCAUUACUAAUAUUGGCUCUCAAGAAAGUUCAUGAAAGAGUCUUUAGAUGUGUUUUUGUGUUUUGUAAUUUAUAUAUAUAUUUAGUAUUUAGCAAAAAUAUAUUUGGAUAUAUAAUUAUACAUAAUAUCAAAAUAUAAAUAUUAUAUAUAUAGGUAAUUAAAGGGCCGGGCCUAUAUCGGGUAUGAGCCUAAUAAGGCCCAAGCUCGGCUCACAUUUAAUUCGGAUCUAAUUUUUAGGCUCAAGUUCAGACCGGCUCACUAAAUGAUCGGGCUCAUCGGGCUUUCUGUCGGGCCGAACGAGCCGAGCUCGGGCUGGCCCAGCCCCAUUGACAGUCCUACCUGUUAUGACAGUUAAUUCAGAUGUCAAAAUUUGCAAGAUAAUAUCUACUUUAGGUCUAGGUAAACGACUUACAAUUACAUUAGCCCCUCCAUUCUUCGAUAGAGAUGUUAAAAUUUGCAGUUGGGGUUUAUAUACAGAGCUUUGUACAGGAAGAAGAAGAGAAUCCAAUGUACCGGUGUACCAUUUUUGGAUAAAACAUGGUGUCGUAUUUUUCAUAGGAACGUGUUCCUUCUUAGUUAAAACUUUGAAUGUCUUAAACAUGUAACUAACCAUCAAGAACCCAAAUUUGUACAGAUCGAUAUUUCUCAGCACAGAAAAAGAUAAACCUUAGCUGACAAUUGAUCUAUUUGGUCUUCAAAGAAUCCCUUCCUGCUAAUGGAUUUUUUGUUGCUGCUGGUAUUUGCUGCUGCUGCUUGGUAAUGCAUAUUUUCUGUUGCUAAAAACCCCUAAUUUGGAAAUUCUACGCCAAAUCUAAGGGAAUUCCUUCUAGUUGCUAUUGUUUACCUGUUAAUAUUAUUGUUUUGGGAAUCACAUUUUCGGCCUUCGAUUUCUUUGUGUAAGUUCUGAGCAAAAGAACGGACGCAAGGUUUCUUUUGACAGAAAGCGGUGGCUUGUAACUAGGGGUGCAAACGAGCCGAGUCGAGUCGAGCUUUGGCCUUAUCGAGUCGAGCCUUAACUUAAUUUCAUCGAACUCGAGCUCGAGCUCGACGAGCUGGUAAUUUUCAAACUCGAGCUCGAGUUCGACUCGAUUCGAGCCCAGCUCGAGCUCGAGUUCGAACUCGAAAAAAAUAAAAAAUAAUUAUUUAAUUUUUUAAAAAAUAAAUAAAAUAAUAUUUUUUCUUAAUAAAUAAUAAAAUAUUAAGGAUAUUUAUGUAAUUUUACUAUUAAAAAUAAAAAUAAAAAAAAUAAAUAUAUAUAUACUCGAGCUCGCGAGCCUAACGAGCUUAAUGUUUUGAGCUCGAGCUCGAGCUCGACUCUAGCUCGAGCAGCUCGAGCUCGACUCGAGCUCGACUCGAGCGGCUCUAGAGCGGCUCGAUUCGUUUGCACCCCUACUUGUAACUCGAAUAUAAUGUUCAAAAUAGAUGAAAGACCUCAGCAGAGUAUUGGGUUCGACUCCGAGUGACUAUUCUCAGCAGUAUCAUUGCUGCUGCCUCAAGCAAUGAAGUGUGGUUGAAAUUAUUUGAAGUCUAGUCGUGUCUUGCGAACCGCCAAAACCUUUCUCUGUAGCUGGGAAUCGGGGUCAGCAAAGCAACAAAAAUUUCGUUACUAUAUUUCGCGGCCAGGAUCAACGAGCCAAAUGUUACAUUCAUCCAUGCAGUAAAGUUACCUUGUUUGAUUGUCAUUUUUAUUUUAAUUUUUUUAAAAUAUUUUUUAUGAACAUAUUUUUCAAUCGUUUUUUUAUUUCAUACAUAUUAAAUUGUUACAGUACACUUAAAAAAAAAAAGCAAUUUGAAAGGGCUCGCAAUUGAAGGUUUAAAUCAUACUCUUUUUAUUAAAUUUACCUCCUAGCACCGAAGAAAUAAAUAAGAACUUUGGGGGAAUAAGAAGAUCAGAUCAAAUCAAAUCAUGAGAAAGUCAACAAAAUGAGAAACCCAGGAAGCUCAGUAGCCACCGCCUUUUCUGGUGGGGUGGGAGGUCAGUGGUUCAACCCUUGUCUCCCAUCAAAUUGUCUGUUUCUUAUGGACAACUCGGUUAAUCUCAGCAAUCCUCCUUAGGAGCUGGUGUCUAGUGCCCGCAAGGGUCCGAGUCCUGUAGUUAUCGUGUUCGGGGGGAUGGGGUCUCUCCUUCCUGACCAAAGUGAGAUUAGUCGGGCCCGUAAAAAUUGACCGGAACACCCACUCCGUCAGCAAAAAAAAAAAAAAAACCCAGCAGGAAGGUUUGGAAAAGGUAAGGGUACAAAUGUAACUUAACAUCUAGCAUUAUACUAUCGAGCAUAUCCAGAAUAUCCCCUUGAGCCAUUGCUAUUGAUGCUCCCGAAAGGACGGACCAGUAGUAAGUACCUUGAAAAACACAGCCGAAGGAAAAUCCAUCCCCCUGGAGACUUGAGUAGAGCUCGUAGACACUGAUGUGAGUGAUCAAUUUUCAUCUGGAAGUUGGAUUCUUGACAGACCCUUUCGGAUUUGCUCUCUGAUUCUUCUGUCGUAUUAAGGUAAAUAAUUGUCCAACUCGACUAAUUCUCAUCAAUCUCUCUGGCUCUGAAGUUUCGGUAGCAUGCCUUUUGCUGCCGUUGCUCUCUCUCUUCUCUUUCUCUCAAUCUGUUUAUGUAGUCCAAUUUUUGCUGGUCUGUGAACCGUAAUUUUUGUAGCACAGCUUGGUUAAUUCUUGACUUGGAUAGUAGGCUGAAGACUUGAAAAAAAAAAAGAGAGUAAAGCAGGGGUCUUUUGUUCUUGUGAUGGACUGGGCAUUCAAAUAGCAAUGGACUAGUUAAAGAAUGCAGAACUGUUGGAAAAGAAGUAAAAGGCUUACUCAUUAUGCAAAUUUUCAUUUUGCUUUUUACUAAUCUCAGCGUUGCAUUUGAACUUUGGAGUUGGUUAACUUAAAAAGUUGAAUAAAAUGGCUUGUUUUUUAUCACAAUGAUUCUUUGUCAGUCUGCUUCUUGUAUUUAUAUAGAGCAGCAAAGUAGUGACUUCGAAGAUUGAUUUCGAGUUUAAGUACAAACUCUGCAGGUUUAAUACAGUUAAGAGUACAAUUGGCAGCUACUAUGGCGCACUUGCUUUCUACCUCUUGUUCUUUGAAUAUCCCUCCGAGCUGCAAAAAGCCAAAAUGCUUGUUAGUGAAUCAGUGUUCAUCAUCGGGAUUUCCCGCAUCUUUUAGUUUGCCAACUUCAACCUCUCGUUCGAAAAUGCUCAUCCUGCAUGGAAAAGGGCCAAAAAGAUCCUCCACCAUCUAUGCUAUGGCUGUUUCUCUGAGUCAAGAAUCCAAAGCUCAGCCUGGCUCUAGCUUUCCUCAAGAAACCGGUGAAGCUGGUAGUCCAAAGAAGGUCAUGGUUAUUGGUGGUGAUGGUUACUGUGGUUGGGCUACUGCACUCCAUCUAUCAAACAGAAACUAUGAAGUUGCUAUUGUUGACAACCUUGUUCGUCGCCUUUUUGACCACCAGCUCGGUCUUGACUCCCUCACACCUAUUUCGUCUAUCCAUAAUCGUAUCCGUUGUUGGAAGUCCCUUACUGGCAAGGAUAUCCAACUUCACAUCGGGGAUAUAUGUGACUUUGAGUUCCUGGCUGAGACUUUUAAGUCAUUUGAACCUGAUGCUGUUGUCCACUUUGGAGAGCAGAGAUCUGCUCCUUACUCCAUGAUUGAUAGGUCAAGAGCUGUAUUUACCCAACAGAACAAUGUCAUUGGGACACUUAAUGUUCUGUUUGCCAUAAAGGAAUAUAGAGAUGAGUGUCACUUGGUGAAGCUUGGAACCAUGGGAGAGUAUGGGACCCCAAACAUAGACAUUGAGGAAGGUUAUAUUACAAUUACUCAUAAUGGAAGGACAGACACUCUGCCUUAUCCCAAGCAGGCAAGUUCUUUCUAUCAUUUGAGUAAGGUUCAUGAUUCCCAUAAUAUUGCAUUUACUUGCAAGGCGUGGGGAAUCCGAGCCACUGAUCUAAACCAAGGAGUAGUUUAUGGUCUGAGAACAGAUGAGACUGCAAUGCAUGAUGAGCUAUGUAAUAGAUUUGAUUAUGAUGGAGUUUUUGGAACUGCGUUAAAUAGGUUUUGUGUUCAGGCUGCUGUCGGUCAUCCACUUACUGUCUAUGGCAAAGGGGGCCAGGUAUUUUCUCCUUUCAUGUCUCUGUCACAUUAAUCAUAUGAUAUUUCCUGCAGAACUGGAGAUGCUUCUCAGCUGCAAACUGCGAGUAGUUAUAUUGCAAUAGGCACAGUCUAAUAUCUAUUUCUUUUCCUGUGUGAAAACAUCAUGAAUCGAUAGAUGGGUAGUUCCUACUGUUAUUAGUCACUGGAAACAACAAAUUUAAACUCUUAGCACAUUCAGCAAAUAAAACUGUGCAACACAUAUUGCAUAAGCCUCCUCCAUCGGAUUACAUGGGACCUAAUAGGUUUGUCUGUCACGUGCUUCAUAGAUCUACAUAUUGAAGCAGUAUUAUGUUCUGAAAUGGUAUAUUAAUUGACAAAGUCUUGAGUACCUAGGUAAGAUUAGUUUUUAUAGUUCACAUUUUUGGUAUGGUUUUGCUAGAAGGCAGCUGAAGCUUCCUCUUGAAAUCACUUAUAAGUCCAUCCCUAUUUUAGGCUAGUUAUCUGGAACUUCCGAGGAAAGUAUGUAAUAACAUGAACCUGCCAUUAUAAUGGAUAAUAACCGAGUUGCUGCCUGUUGUCUCGAGAAGGUUAAAUCUGGAUAUUGAACGUAUAGUUAUGCUGAUUUGGAGAUUACAUGACCUAGGUCCAAAGUACUCUUGGCUAACUACCUUCUGAACUUGGAUGUAAAUUGAUGCCCAUAGACGAUAGUUUGAAAUCUGCUGAUAUGAUGUUGGGUUUGGAUGGGAAAAAUGAGUUUUUUUAUCUGGAUUGCCAUAAUCUUUAUGCAGCCUCUGUAGGGUAAGCCACUGCUGGAGAAGCUACUCCAGAUUCCUUUCUUAUUUUUUAAAUUUUCUAAAUUUCUUUGGCUGAGACUCACUGAAGUAUUCUGACUAUAGGGCUUGAAUUUGGAAAUGCAUCAUUCUGAUGUUAAUAGGAACUAGGAAGUGCUUUUUGUUUUUGGCUGCAUAAAAAAAAAAAACGAAGGGUGUGGCACUUGAAGCUAGGGUGGUUUUGCAGUCACCAACUCACUCAAGUGCUUCAAUCGAUACUUCUAACUUUAUUUCAUCUUCAUCCAUGUUCUUUUGUGAUCUACUGAAUAUUUGUAAUGCAUUCUUUUUGUACAAUGCAGACCAGGGGAUAUCUAGAUAUAAGAGACACAGUUCAGUGUGUUGAGCUUGCAAUUGCUAAUCCAGCACAGAGAGGAGAAUUCAGGGUCUUCAAUCAAUUCACGGAGCAGUUUUCUGUCAAUGAACUUGCAGCCCUUGUCACGAAAGCUGGAGAAAAACUUGGCAUUGAGGUGAAAACAGUAUCUGUGCCCAACCCCAGAGUAGAGGCAGAGGAGCAUUACUAUAAUGCCAAACAUACAAAACUCAUUGAGUUGGGUCUCAAGCCCCACCUUCUCUCUGACGCUCUUCUUGACUCGCUGUUGAACUUUGCCAUCAAGUAUAAGGAUCGUGUUGAUCCCAAACAGAUAAUGCCCAGUGUUUCUUGGAGAAAAAUUGGUGUCAAGCCAAAAACUGUUGCAGUAUAAAAGAGUGUUGAAUGGUACUAGUUUCAGUACUGAUUGUCUACUAUUAUACUGCUGUAACCGUUUCUGAUGGGGUGUUGUAUCUUACUGAACUCCUUGCAUAUUGUCGGCAUUAGCAUCCAGCAGCCUUCCGACUGUAAAUUUUGGUAGGACGUAGAAAACUCUAGCAGUAACUCCAUCAUCCCUGUAAUGUCAGUAACCUAGAAGAGUCUUUGGUGUAUCACGUUUAUUAAUUUUCUAGAUGAAUAAAGUUGUUUUCUAAAUUUGUUGAAAAUUGAACAAAUGCCCUAUACAUGCGACUACAAUCUUAUACUCCAAAAAUUUUUCCUGUCUUCGACAGAUGGGGGGACAUGUAUGAAUACUCCUUUCCUUGACGAUGAAAAUACAGCCUACGGCAGAACAAGCAUCCGGUUGAAAUACAUAAUCGAAGUGCUUAGCUGUUCUGUUGAUUUGAGUUGGUGGAUCUUGUUUAUAUUCAUAAUGCAUAUGACAUGAAUUGCUUGUAACUGGUAUUGAGAAUCAUAAAGCAAAACUGAAUACUAAAUUUGAAUCUUCGACUCACUGAGGAAAAAACAUAUGAAAGAGAUGGUUCAUAUAUUUUAUCUUCUGCACAGCGUUUUUGUUUUUUUGACAUAUUGUGCUGUAACAUGUUUUUCAGUAAACUACAGUCCAUGUACUAAUCCCUAGUUCUUAAAGACCCUAACUGCAUCAUUAUCCAUCGAGGUAGUCUUCAGCUAUCACCGUUGGUUGGUACCAUGAGGGGGGAAUCAAUGUUGUCAUCCAGGAACCAUGUUACGGUUGGUAUGAAGCAACAGAGUCAGACAUGUAACUGGAUUCUCUUAAAAUCCAUUUGUCCAGAACCAUAAUCACUAUCCUCGUAUCAGAAUCGGGAAUGGAUAAAUCUAUGCACUCUUCUGCAUUCUGUAAGCCCAUUCGUUACAAAAUCCAGUACAACUGAAGCCAAUUCAUGUUGAUGCGAAGUGAAAUAAUGAUCUGCGCCUUCAAAAAUGUGUAGUAUAUGAUUAGGUAUGUGCUUUGCAAACUCCUUGGCAUCACUGACAGGAACAAAUUCAUCCACGGAACCUUGAACUGUCAACACCCUACAUACACGUACAGAAUAUGGAAAGAUAAUGAAAAUAUGUUUCAUAACGAAGAUCCUGAUAUAGAAUACUCUUCAAAAUUGAAUUGAUAACAACAGUUCAAUCAUAAUUCGAUAAACAAGAAUCACCAAUCCCUACCUGCAGUUUCUGUCGAUCUUUUGGCAAGCUGCACGAGUAUCAGUUGCUAGACGGUCCAUCAAACUUUCCUUAGAUACACGAUACUUGGUCUUUCCUACAUAGAAAUACCCCAUGUGAGACAUAACUUGGCUCGAAGGCAAUUAUUUAUUUCCUUACCUCUCAUACACAAUUUUUCCAUAAGUGAUUUCUUUCUGGACAAUACAAGGAAACCAACAUGCAGCACUUGAGUACAAAACCAAACUCAUACAAGAAGAUGAAUCACGGUCUUAGCUACCCCUUCUGUUCUUGACGUCAAUAAAUCCAUUCUGCUCAAUUUUCUCCAGAAAGUCUUUACCCAAGCGACCUUCAAUUCCUCGCUCAAGAUUGAAGCGGCCAGCGAUAUUGACAAUAAUUUGUAUGUCAUUAUCCCUUGAAGCAUACAACAGCACAGCAUUUCCUCCUAAAAAAUCUCAACUGAACAGCUUGUCAGGUGACUGGAAGGAAUCUAGAAGUUCGGACAGUAAAUCAAUGUUUGAACUUAGUCGAAUAGCUUAUGUACCUUUACUAUGCCCGACAAGUGCAGCUACAAAACAUUUCUCUUCCUGGAAGUGUUGAAUUACUGCACGCAAGUCAUCUGCUUCUCUAUGGUAGUUACCAUACUGAAAUGAUCCUUCACUUUCUCUGGGAAGCAAGAAUACCACAUGUUUGUCAUGAAUGAGUUCGUACAAAAAUCAACUAAAGAAAAGAAUGUGGAGAUAGCUUUUUGUGCUCAAAUGAAGAAAUAUUGUCUUCUUCAACUCUUUUACAAGCUUUUGCACCAAUCUUUGGCUAUGUAUUGGCUCCAACCAGCUUAAGUUCUAAUAUGUAAAGGUUUGAGAAGUGAGUGCCCUACUACUUUGCAUCAAAGAAAAUGAAAGGCCUGUUAGAAAGAAAAUCAAAGAAAAAUUACUUAUCUAGUUCCAUUUUACAAGCCUUUCUGCUAGGUACUUCUAUUUAGAUCUAUUUACAAGGUUGAUCAAACACUUGUGAAAAGCACUCAGGAACUAUGUGACAGUGAUCAGAAGUAAGAUAAGCAUAUACAUGACAACUCUCAAGAAAGGUUCCUAUAACAAACUAAGCAGACUGUCAUUUACUAAUUGCACAGAAACUUUGACUAAAUGUUCAAAAUUCAUGAUUUGAAGGGUGGACAGUAUGUAAAUUACACUGCAUUUACACAAGUUAAUAUUGUUUCCCUUCUUUAGCCGUCUUGGGUAAUGUUCCUCUCAAUCUUUUACUAGCACUAGUAGGUAAGAUCGCCCCUAUCUUGUGUUGCAUUACACACCUUGAAGAGUUUGAUUAAACAUAUCUACAAAAUGACAAUAUAGAAGUAAACAUUUCCAAGAGUUUCCCCAUAUAUAUUUUGUCCUACAAGAUCCUCUUCAGAAAAGUAAAGCAAGCAUCAUAUAAAAAAUUAGGGAAAUGGUAAAUGUUAAAAAAGACAGAAUGUACUUGAUCCUUUGUACUCUGAAAAUCUGCUAAAAGGAUCAUUCCAUAGGAUGAAGAGGGAACAUAAGUAUACAGCCAAUUUAUGUGCAGGAACCCAAAUCUGGAGGGCAAUAUUAAUCUCUAUCUUCACACCUAAUUUUCACUGAAAAGGGUCUCAGAUUGAAGAUAUAGUACAAUUUUAUUCUUAAAUUUUUUCUUCUCUUAGACCAUUGUUUGAAGAGGAUGUGUCAAAUUUUAAUCUAAACAUGCAUUUUUUCUCAAGAUGUCUGAUGUCCUGACUGGGUCAAGAACAAAAAUUUUGGUGAUAUUUCUGAAGAGACAUGUCGGGAGGAGUAGCGUGUCAGUGGCUAGUCACUUACCCAUUCCCAGCAAAAUCAAAGCGGAAGGCACUAAUUCCUUCUUUUUCAAAAGCAGCUGCUAGAUUCACCAUGGGAAUGCGAUCCUGAAGUUUAUGAGAAGGGAACAACAUUAAUGGAUUGAAUGAUCAAGGUAGUCCUUAGCAACAAAUAUACUGUAGCAAUCAAAAAGUAAUGAUACAAUGAAAUUGAUUUAGAAAUGGGAUCUUCCUGAUGAUCAUACAACAAAGUGCUUGUAACAAAAUACAGAAAAAAAGACACUUCAGGCUCCCAACACAUACUUACAAGAACAUGUUACCUCUCCACUGUUACACACUUACAAAAAUUUUGAAGAUUAUAAAAACUGUAUGUGAUUUGAGUGUAUAAUAUCAGGGAUAUAAUAAGACCAGGCGUUUAUGUUUUAGACAAGUUCAGGCAGGCAGGAAAAUAGACUUUUUUUUUUGGAGCAUGGGACCCGUCAACAUUCCUUCUUCAGAAGUUUUGGCGAAUGCCAUCUGUAAGGAGGGAUGCAGAUAAAAUGUUUGUGCAUAUGACAUGCAUCUAAAAAAAAGUUUUGUUAUUUUCAAUUCAUCUACAGCACCAAAUGGGAUGGAGAUUGCAAAAUUUUUGCAAAGAUGCUCAUCAGAUAAUGCUGAAAAUGAGAUUGCAGAUAAUUCCACCAAGUAAAUAAAGAAGCAAACAGAGCAUUAGAGUGGAGAACUACCAAAAUAUAGAAAACUUUCUCAUCCUAAAACAUCCAGUUAUAGAGAUGGCAAACACCAACCUUUGAAGAUCUAAAUCCAUGACAGAUAAUCACAACCUCCUUCGACCCCGUUUCAUGCAAUAUCCCCACAAGCUUCUCACCAUAUCUGUUCUGUAUACGUACUCUCUUUUGUUCAUGGGUCCCUGCCAAGAAGUUAACAAAGAAAUGAGUCCUGAUCACCUCAAUAGGUCACCUAAAUCCAGCAAGUUGCCAACUUUUAGGGGAUCAUCACUGACAAGUGAAUUAACUGAAGAACUCUGUAUCAAACAUGUCUCGCUAUAUGCACCGGGACCAAUCCCAAAAGAGACCCUGAUAAAAGAGCGAGAGAGAUAAAAGAGACCCUGAUAAUAUUUUUUUUUGCAAAAUUGUGGGAAUUCCCCAUAAAUCAAGAAGCCAAUAAUCAGAACCAAUUCCAGCACGCAAAAUUACACAAGAAACCAGGAAUAGCUAAAAGAAGAUAAUUCAUUUUGUAUAGAACCCAUAAUUUGUACAAAGUAGAAAAUGCUACGGAAGCCGUGAUCACCAGCAAAUUUGAUAAUGUUUGAACAUUUUCUUGAAAGGUUCUGCAAAAAGCAAUCAACUUUCUGAUUGCCCCCUUCUUCUUGUACCCCAGUCUCUCAAUUGUACUAUAUAGUAUCUUUUAUUUCUUCACUUAUUUUUGUAUUGGUGUGUUUACCUUACACGAGAAUAUUAAUGGACCUACCCGGCUGGUGGCUGCUGUCGUUGUGGUGGUGAUGGUGCUCUUUGCCUUCGUGGACUGCCAUUUUAGCUCCUGUAUUUGACCUUUCUGGAUUACUACAAUGAUUCAACUAUACUGCUUUUCUGCUCCUGCAACUUUUCUUUUUUUAUUUAUUUAUUAUUAUUAUUUUGGACAACCUUGCAGGACCCAUCGCUUACGAGCAAAAUAACUACCCUUGUUUGAAAAAACAAAAAGGGAAAAUUUUUUUGUAUGUACACAUGUUUAUGUGGGAUGAAGCGAUACAACACGAGUUGGAGGAAACCUACCUAAACUAAAAGGAUAGAAAGAGAUGGGAAUUCGAACAUAAUUUUUUUUUUUAUAUCAUAAACACGUUUUUUAACAUAUUUUAAUAUCUAUUUAUGUCAUAUAUAUUGUAUCAUUAAAAUAAGUACUACAGUAUUAUUCUAAACUUAUUAAUAAAUCAUUUCUUUGAAUGGUAUAACAUCUACCAUGUUCACGUAAAAGUGAGUUUUUAUAAGAGUGAACGCUUGAAAUAAGCGUUUUUUUUAUAUAAGUGUUGAAAUUCACUUUUUUUAAUUUCAUUUACUACUAAUAUGGGAGAGAAGUUUAAACAAGUAUUAAUUAAUUUUGGGGCAAGAAUGAGUUGGAUAGUUCAAAAGAAAGAAUAUAAGCGAUAAGUUCCAGUUUUAAGCCCUUCCAUUUACAUAAAAAAAAUUAUUAAUUAAUUUUAUUUAAGGUCACCUUGCAACUGUCCCUACGUAUAGAUCACGUAGAUGUCUAAGAUAAACAAGUAAUUCUACCAUCCCUUCGUAUUAAAUGGCGCGGCAAAAAAAAAAAAAGACGUUUCUUUAAGAAUGGAAUUCCAGAAGUGGAGAGGUGCACAGGAAAAUACACAGAAAAGUAGACAGCUCUUUGAUCGAGGAGCACCUCCUUAUCAAUGGAUUGACAAGCCAAGAAUCCAAAAUUCGAUUUCAGUGCCUUCAAUUGCAAACCAGCGUCCUUGAACUGCUGGUCCUAAUUGUGAUGGUUGAGUUCUGAGCAGGAGGAUCCUGCAUUCACUUUGCAAUUGCCAGUUGUUAACGAUCCCCAUUCAUGUGGCAACUGUUUCUAUUUUUGUUCAAGUUUUUUAGUCAUAAUUUUCACUCUUUCUGCGUAUUUCUAGCAUGCAAACACCAUCAAAUGUCUGAAUAUUCUCAUAUGACGGAUCCUUAGUACGCAAAUCUUUUCACUAACAGGUUGGAAGGAAGCAGUCUAAUCUAGACUUAAAUGAGUUAAAAGAGCCAAAUCCUCUUAUGUACUCGUUACACUAAUCCCGCAUUUACACCCCUUCUAGCCCUCGCCAGGCUCCAAUACAACCUUCCGCAGAUUCUACAUUUGUAUAGCACAAAACAAGCACGUGGAAAGAUUCACCCGGACUUGUUAUCUUAGACUAAUAUUGCUGACCAAAGCAUCUCGAAAAGAAAAUUUGCAGAUUCCUGAUUUCGAAUCGCAAGACAAACAGAGGCCAAUGGCAUGGAAACCAUUUUCUACCGCCUGAAUACAAAAUGUAUAGCAAACAAACUGGCCUUGCCAAGGCACUAACAGCAUCACAAGGACCAUUCAAGAAAUAUAGCUACAACCACAUUUCUCAACAAUGCAGCAUCAUGUUGACUGAGAGUUACACAGUACAUCCACUGCACAGCAGGAGUCCAUCUAUCGAACUAACAAAAAUGCAAUAAAGAAUAAGAAAAUAAAAAAUAACAGAAAAACAUAAUGCUAUACUGAACCCACUGUUAGCUAUGUGGUCAAGUAGGGAGAACGGACGAUAAAAAGUCAUUGAAUAGAACUCAAUGUAAGUGGUACACCGAAAAUAGCACUCCCUGCCAUUCAUCUUCUACACAUUCCAUUCAAAAGCAUACAUAAACAUCACCUUGGAGUCCGCAAUUAGCUACAUUGUUUCUCACAGGUUAAAAGGUUUCCAUGUGAAACACAAUAUGCACAUUAAACCUGAUAGUUAUGAAUAAGGGACGGGAUUGACCUGUGCAUCUCCUCCAUGCUACGAUCCAACAGGUGCAAUUCCCUUUGCCUUGGCUGCAGCAGUUGCUGCUGCAGCUGCUGCAGCGGCAGCAGCAGCCGCAGAUGCUGCUGCAUUGGGUGUUGAUGGAGGAACAGCACCGGAUUGCGAUGUGCUUUGCGCGGUAACCAUUUGUUGUUGUUGUUGUUGCUUCUGCUGAGAGUUUACCUGAGCAAGCAGGGCCUUGAUCUGACUUCCAGAGAGUGUCUCAUGCUCAAGUAGAGCAUUAGCAAGUGCAUGGAGCUCCUUGCUGUUCAUGGUGAGAAUGGUUUUCGCGUUGUUGUAAGCCCUCUCCAAAAAUUGUUUUACUUCUUCCUCAAUAAGGAGCCUAGUCUCAGUGCUCAUGCUCUUGCCGUUAUCAUCAUAGUUGUGAGUAACAAGUCCCACGUUUCUGCUCAUACCAUACUUUGUAACCAUUGCUCUUGCAAGAUUGGUUGCUUGCUGCAGAUCGGAAGAUGCACCUGAAGUCACUUCAUUUUCUCCAAAGAUGAGCUCUUCUGCUACUCGUCCACCCAUGCAAACAUCCAAACGAGCAAGCAUCUGCUUACGAGAUAUACUUGUCUCAUCCUUGUCAGGUAAUUGGGCAACCAUACCAAGAGACAUUCCACGAGGAACAAUGGUUGCUUUGUGAACUGGAAGGGCCCCUUCAGUAUGGAUAGCCACGAGGGCAUGGCCACCCUCAUGAAAAGCAGUCAGCCUUCGUGAUUCAUCAGAUAUAACAGCUGAUUUCCGCUCGCUUCCCAUCAUGAUUUUGUCCUUUGCAUGCUCAAGAUCAGCCAGUGUCACAGCUUUAGCACCAUCCAUCGCAGCCUUAAGGGCAGCAAUAUUAACCAAGUUUGCAAGAUCAGCACCAGAGAAUCCGGGAGUUCCUCGGGCAAUGAUAGUCAGAUCUACGUCUUCCGCUUUAAGAACCUAUCAGCGAAAAAAAAAAUUUCGGAUUAGAAUCCCCUGCUGAAAUUUCCUUCUCCCAAAAUGUAGAAUUGUCUAAGGAAUGCGCUAAUCAAAGAUAAUUCAAGUAUCAGCCAUGCAUGUCAGAUGGAUGUUAUCCAUAUGCGCAUCACUAUAAUGGCCAGUACAUCAACCAGUAACUUGGCGUAGGAAAGAUUAGCAAAGAUCACCCAUAUAUGUCUUCAAGUAAGUUACAUAUGUAAACUAUAAAGAGAAAUAUUGCAAAAAAGGAAACUUUCAAAUGAAGUACAUGGUGCAGAUGCUUAUGUAAAUUAUGGCAUAUCAAAUGGGAAAUUUGCUCUUGCACAAAAGGAAACAUCCAAACAGAAGUACACAAAGCAGGAGCUUGCCUACAGCACCAGAAUCACGUAUAGGUGAGCAAACGAGUAAUGACCAGCUAGUAUCUCACAACUGAUCUGUCAGGGAUUGAGCACGGCAGAGAAAUACACUUCACCAGGCAAACAAGGGUAGAGAAUUUGAAAUAAGAGCUUAGUGGAAGGAAUUAGAUUGAUUCAUCGAGUUGGUUUAUGAAACCUGUGUUGACAUGGAAUGGGGUGUGGUACGUGGCCAAAAAGAAGAAAGAACAAAGUACAAAUCUUUGCACAAAUCUACAUUGCAAGACUUGAAAAAUGUCUUGAAAAUGGCCAAGGAAAAACACAAGCCACUAAGCCACUAAAAGACUCAGUAGAAUUGUUCUCUUGGACAAAGUCAAUCAACAACAGGCAGAACAAAAAUAACUUUUUGGAGACAUUGCAAGACUUGAAAAAUGUCUUGAAAAUGGUCAAGGAUAAACACAAGCCACUAAAAGACUCAGUAGAAUUGUUCUUUUGGACAAAUUCAGUCAACAACAGGCAGAACAAAAGUAACUUUUUGGAGUAUACUAGGGUCCUAACAUAUCUUCUUUGGCAAACAAAGCUUCUACUUUUUACAUAACAUUGCAAGGGCCCCUCCAUCUUAUUUCUGAAUUCAUCACAUGUAUCUUCUUCCAUUCCAGAUCGCCCUUUGGGAAAUAUGCACACUAAUUCAGAGCCUACAAUACAAAAUUAUCCUCAAUUCGCAAACUAAAGCUCUUUGAUUCAGUAAGUGAAAGAUGAACAAGUGGGACAAUUAAAUGAAAAAACUGGGGAAAGAGUAAAUAAGAAAUAGAGGUUUUUAUCAUCAAAAAAAGCAAAGUACCUUUGACAUAUGUGAUUCCAAGAUCUGUCUCCGUCCUUCAACAUCAGGAUUUGGAACAACAAUAUGACGAUCAAAUCGUCCAGGCCUAACCAGAGCCUUAUCCAAUGACUCCGGGAAAUUGGUUGCAGCAAUCACAAUAAUUCCCUCAUUCUGCUUGAAGCCAUCCAGUUCAACAAGUAACUGAUUCAGAGUCAUUUUCAUGUAUUGCUGGUCCUUUGGGUUGCGGCUCCCACCUAUGGCAUCAAUCUCGUCAAUAAAUAUUAUACAUGGAGACCGUUUCUUUGCAGCAGCAAAGAGAUCUCUAACCCUGCGGGCACCAACACCAACAAACAUUUCUUCAAACUCACUGCCGCUGCAAGAGAAAAAGGGCACCCCAGCUUCUCCAGCUAUAGCCCUUGCCAGCAUAGUCUUGCCGGUACCUGGGGGACCAACAAGUAGAACACCUUUUGGGAGCUUACCGCCAAGUCGAGUGAACCGCUGCAAUAACAUAAAAGGUGAGCAUAAUGAAGUCUGCAACGCUUCUUGACAGUUUAGGAAGGCUAAUCUAAAAUCAUUAAAAUCAAAGUUCUCUCCCAGAAAAUAAUUCUAAUAUCAUGUCAAUUGCUUGUUGAUCAAGAACCAAAUGAAGGGCAAAAUUUAACCAAAUUUAGGUAGCUAAAUAAGGCUUUGUAGAUCCAUAUGAAUAUUCUAACUUUUGCUAAUGGAAAGAAGGAUGCAAGAAAAACUAUUAACAACUGCAAAUUAUAGAAGUUUAGAUAUUCUGCACAGAAAAACAGAAAAAAUGCAUGAGUUAUUCACUCACAGAUUCAUGUGAUUGGAAAGGGAGGUGAGCCAGCCACCCAAGAGAUUGUUACAGAUCAGAAAGCACAAGCUGCAAUUACCUUAGGGUCUCGAAGAUAGUGAACAAUUUCUUCAAGCUCAGAUUUGGCUUCAUCAACCCCCUUUACAUCACUAAAUUUCGUAUUAGAUUCCAAACUAGGGUGCACCUCUUCAUUCAGACCCAGUCCUAGUAGAAAAUGGUAAAGAGCAUUAGUCAGCAGAUAACCUUUUGUUUGGUUACAGAUUCAUCACCCAAAACCACAACAAUAACACAAAAAAAUUAUAAUAAUAACAAAUACAAUAAAAUAAUCUAAGACCUUCCAGCAAAGCUCAUAACUACAAGUACCUUUACUAAUCCCUCUAUCUUCGAUGAGUGCACCAAUGCCUGAGAUUAGAAGGAAGGCCAUACCAAGAGCACGGACUGUCCGCCAUAACUGCUCCUUAAAAUGGCCCCCUUCAGCAGCCACCAUAUGUAUAGGUGCACUAGCAGUACCAAGAACACCUUCCUUUGUAGAUUUCCCCACAUUCCUAAAAGCUGAAAGACCUCCAACCAUUUCUUCUUCCACCUGGGAGCUAGGAGCACCUGUAAUUCCUGUAUAACAUACUUAUCAAAUUCCUCAAACCAAUGAAACGUCACAGAAUAUCAAAACUCUUCAGUGGUAGAACUAAUCAAGAUAUGCUACAAGAGUAGUAGACCUGGUAAAACUCUAUCCAUGUAUGUAGACCCAAUCAGAAAGAGUACACCACAGAAAGGCCAGAGAGAAGAUAAAAAAAAUAAAUUAAUUAAAAAAAAAUAAUGACACUAGCCUCUCUGCAAUGUCUUGAGCAGCUCACUUUCGUCCAGCCUAUCAACCUUAACCAGUGCCUUGACAUACUCUGCAAGCGCUGUUGGGUUAGAGUGCAGUGAGGGUUGGCUUUCGAACACCCUAAUGACUGCCUCAGGCUCGUUUCGAUGAUAUAGCUCUUUGAGGUAUGCAGCAUCGCUUAAUUCAUCACUUCUCCGAGCUAGGCUAGCAGCAUAACUUGAUCGAAAUCUUUUGGUGUUCCCAAAUGCAUAUCCUGCAAGAAGAAAUGGAGGGAAGGUGAAGAGGAAUGCUUCAAACUUGUGCCAAUGAGCAAGUAAACAAUAUAACCAAGGGAAAUUCAAGAGGAAUCAUCCGCCAUGCAUCAAUUUAUCUUUCAUCCAAAAAUCGGCAGAAUAAUAUUAUUGCACCACAAUCAGAAAACAGGGAAUCUGCCAUAUCAACAAUAAGCGACUUCGAUUGCGUACCUAACUCUUUCUGGGCAUUAGGUGAAGUGCGAUAAGCUCUAACUAAUACAUUGCUCAGUUGCCCCAACUGCGACUGCUGUCGUUGAACCUGUUAUAACAAAACACAGGUCCUAACACAAUUAGAAUGAAAUUUCGCACAUAUGAUCAACAUGAAACCAUUAUUAUCAGAGCUAAAGCUCAUAUAACCAUCCCUCCUUAUCCACAUCAAUCGGCAAAAGUCACACCUACAAUACAACCAAAACAGACCUAGAAAAAGCUAACUAGAGUCAUAAAAAUGGAGUCUUUCCAAAACCCAUAUCAUUAAUUGCACAAAAAAAAAACACAUAAAAUCAGCAACUUUCACCACUUUUAAAAACAAAAAAUAAAAAAAAUUUCUUACCCAACAACCCUUUUGGCUUUACACCUAAGACUGAUAACUAAUUACUCCUAAACCCACCAAAGCUUAUACCAAACGAUUAAAUGACCUAUUUCUAGAUUAGGGCUUCAGCAUCCUAUGGAAAAAAAAAAAAAAAACUAAAAACCUUGGCUUGCAUGUUAUAUUUCUGAUGUUCAUACAAUUGAUAAUAAAAAAAAAAAAAAGUGUCAAGAACUGACCCGACUGAUAAGGCGAAUUAAAGCCAUUCCCUGUCCCCAAAAGAGGGCUAAUCUCUCUUUCGCCAAACUCUUCCCCUCCCCCUUUCUUUUUCUAAAUCAACUAUCCCUAUCCCUAAAUAUAGAAGUGUAAGUUAUUCGGAUAUUUUUGGAGUUCAGCAGAUACUGCAACUCAGGAGAGGAGGGAGGGAUGGAGAGAGAAUAGAGGGAGCUGGGGAGUGCAACCAGAGAUGGAUUUUUUCCCUGGAUCAGUAAUUUUUAAUGGGCAAAACUGAAGAGAUUUUUUGUACGCAUAUGAAUAAUCCUCAUAAAUCAUAAUACCGUAUAGUAUAGUAAACUUUGGUAAUAUUUGACCUCAGAUCUUGGGAUUUGGUGAGGAAGUGUCCAUGGCUUGUUUAAGUGGACCGGUUCGGUAUUAGAACUUUGGGGAGAACGGCCGAAGAUGUUUGUGGGCUUUUAUUCUCCAAAAAACAUCAAUGCUUAGGCCCGUCAACAAGGCCUUGUAAGUGAGUCAGGCUGUCCACAACCUUGAGGUUAAACUUUAGCCCAUUGAACAUUAACAACAACCAAGUCCAAAUUCAGCCCAUUCACUGCAUCAGGCUUUGGGAUGAGAUGAGAAAGGACGGAUUCAAAGCAUUUUUAAGUCGAACAAACCCAGUUGAGGAAAGAAACAAAACCGAGAAGUUUUUCUUCUCAAAUUCGUAGUGAAUUCUUGAUUGCAUGUUGUUAUUUCUAUAAUUAUAUAUACGCAAAAUGAAGAACAUUAAUCCGAAAACAAAUGCAUUUUAUUUAUGUAGAAAGGGCAGGGCCUCAGUGGGCUUAGGCCUGUUAGUUACUUUUUAUAAGUUUUGGAGUGGACAUGUCCAAAUUCAGUUCACGUAAACAAUUACUGAUUGUUGAAGUCCAAAUUCAGCUCAUAAGUGAUAUGAGGUACAAAUGUGGCUCACAAGGAAGUAAUUACGAUUGUUAGGAAGUUUUGUUGUCUUAAGCAUAAUUUUCACAUGUUAUUCUAUUUAUUGUGUGAAGAUUAGACAAGUCAUUUGGCACUCAGCGAGAGGAGGUAAGUGCAUGCACAAUCUGCAAUCAUGACAAACCUCAAGGGAGAUUUGUACACAAUCCCUUUUUAGUAAUAAAGUAACAAGUCAUUUUCUUAAAAAUUAAUAAAUCUUGAGAAUGAAAUCGUUUCUAUGCCGACAGGUUAAGAGAAAAUCGUUUAAAAUGUUUCACAUUUCGUCAAAUGAAUCUUUUCAUUAUUUACUUUCAAAAUGAUAACUUCUGUCUCUUACAAAAUUGAAACAGUAAAAUUUGGUCCCAAUCUAAGUUUUUUAUCUUUUUUUUUAACCUUGAAUCCAUUAAGCGAAUCAACAUAGUCAUUUUUUAGGGAAAAAAAAAAAAGGUAAGAUACCAUUUAUCGUUAAAGCAAAUGAUCCGAUCCAUAUUCAAUUUUUUUUCCUCAAAAUAAGUGAGAUUAGACCCAAAUCAUAUUCAUUUUUUUCAUUAAAAAAGUGGGAUCUGAUCUUCUUGUAGACAAAAAAUGAUUGCAUAUGGAUGACGUAGUGAUUUCAAGAUUAAAAAGUGAUCAAAAAUUUAAGUUGGAACUAAAUUUUAUUGCUAAAAUUUGUAAGGAAUACAAAGUUAACAAAGUGAAGGACGAUAAAAUUCAUUUAGCCAAAUGUAAGGGACAUUUGGAACUAUUUCUGUUUCAUUCUAGUUGAACUAACACUAGGAUUAACAAAGUUAUUGCAUUAAGACAAAUCUUACCAUUAACAUUUCAAGAAAUACUUAAAUUCAGAAAAUUUAGAUGAAUCAUUCUUUAAGCGUCGCUGAUGAUACACACUCUACCAUGUCAUUGCCAACAUUUGAAAAGUUAGGGUACCUUCCCUUGUCACCCAACAUCUACCUGCCUCACACCGAGAAGCUUCCCUGUCGGCACGCACAUGUAUUAGUAUUACACCGCCUACGUAAAGGUCACCCCCAUGCUCAUUCAUCUUUUCUUAUAUCAGGGAAGCAAUACACCAGCACAGGAAGCUUCAAUAUUCAUAAUUUAGCCAAAAAACAAAGAGAAACUUGUGCCGAUGAUGAUCAGUAGAAGUUGCCGUGUUCCAAUGACAAAACAUCAACGAUUCCCGAGCCGAGAUAUCUAUCUUGAUCUUUGUGGGAUUUUUAAUCCCAGGCUCAAUCUGCAAUCAACUGAGAGAGGAAAUGCUAGUUUCAUUACCAAGUGAUUAAGGGUUCAAAAAUAAUUCCUCAUGUGUGAUACUUUUACCAAAUGUUUUAAGGGCCUAUUUGGUUGGCAUGCUAAAAGUUACAAAAUGAUAAAAGGAAUGCAAUCGCGGAUAUGCAAAGGGAACGUAAGAACAACUUUGAUUAGAAUUACUAUCCAACUAUUACCUAUUUUUCUUCCUUCACUUGGGCUCCAUUGAUUUGCUUAAUUUCUUGAGUUGUGCACAUGUAGUAUUAUAUGCAUCUCUCUCCCAAGAGAUCCAAAUCAUUAUUGUUCAAUGCGACAGAAAAAAAAAAACAAUUUGAUGCUUCAAAGAAAAGGAAGAUACUGUAAUGUACAACAAACUAUCCAAUCUAGUAAAUUAUGCGAAUGCAGUAGUCGAAAUAUGUGCUUAGAAAAGGGAGAUAUUAAGAAGUUGUAAUGUACUACAUGAGGUAGUUAGCUAUACGCAAAAAACUUUGUAUCAAGAAAUAAUCAUUCGUUAGUUGUUUAUCAUUCUGUAUGAUAACCUUUUACAAACUAAUAUUUUGCAUUAAGUUCUACAUGGCCAACUGCAAAGAACUUAAGGUGCAUUUACGUUCGAAAAAUUGUACAACAUUUUUUUUCCCGGUUUUAGAAUGUGGAGGGCAAUUGCGAAGAAGUACAGUACUACAACCUUGUCUGAGUCUAUGACCUGAGGUAGAAUCAGAAUAUUGUUCUCAUAAUUUUUCAUGGUUUUUUCUACCAAAUUAAAGCUUUACUCUAGCUUUUGUUUUAUUUGAUACUUUUUUUUUGAAUUAUUUUCUUUUCAAUGUAAGUAAAAAAUCUCGAAUUCAAGAUUUCUCACUUAUAUUCCCUACUCAUGUACCAUACAGCCUAUCCCUCUCCCUAGUUUUAUUUGAUACUUUGAUAGUCAUUUGGAAUAAAUUUCAUAAGUCUAUAUAUUUUGCUUUUCAGGGAAUAAUUUCCCAUAAGAAUUUCCCACGAAAAUGAAAAAGAAAAAGAAAAAGAAAAAGGUUCCCAUGAGAAUUCACUUACCCAAGUACUUCUUCCCUUAUAAAGAAAGCAACAAGGGUAAAAUAAAGCAAAUUACCGGAAAAUAAUCACAAAAAGAUGUCUAACUCGAGUGGUCACUCCAGAAUUAACUAAUAUUGUCGGACGUAGUAGUAGGUAUUAAGAUUCUAAUUUGACUGCCAGAAAGUACUACUCCGUCCGUCCCACUUUGAUAGUCCUGUAUUCCUUUUUCAUCUGUUCCAAAUUGUAAUUCACUUUCCAAUUGAAAAAUGUAAUUGUAUUUUAAAUUUUCUAAAAUACCCUUAUUCAAUGUAAGUAGUUGUUACUAUAAACCUACCCCAUUUAAUGAGAGUUGAUUCUUUUUUUACCGUCAAUUCAAGUUCCCAUAAAGUUGUACCAUAUUUAAUGUGAGGGUAUUUUAGAAAAAUAACAAUCUAAAUUUACUUUUCUAACAAAGUUAACUAUUUUUUCUUAAAUUGUGUGAAAAAAGAAACAGGACUAUCAAAUGGGACGGAAAGAAUAGUAAUCAAUGAGAUGUUUAUUGUACCUUCUACAUAUCAAUCUGAAACCUUUUGAUAAGCGGAUUGGAAAAAAAUAAGUAUAAUUUUCACCUUUCAAAUUCAACAGCCAACCAUAAAACUCUCUCUCUCUCUCUCUCUCUUGUCGUACCAAUCAGAGUUCAGUGCCACAUGUACAAAAAUUUAUCGAGUAAUAGUUUCAGAAACAAGGAGAAAAUCCACGAUUAUUAUUCCGGGAUGGAGUAGGUACAUUAAUUAAGAUUUUAGUACGGUUAUUGUUCAAUUAUUGAUUUACACAUAAUUUGGUGUUAACUAACAUUACUUUAUUGUAAACUUGAAUUUUGUUCAUAUACACCAACCCAAUAUAUGAAUCCAAUCACACUAAAUGUACCAAAGCCAAUUGUACACCUACCCCAAAUGCCUACAAGAUGACAAACAAAGCUUACUGGUUGCCCUUUGAUGUUUUUGUACUAUAAUGAGGAGCCAUUAAAUUGAUAAUGAUUCUUUAAUUUAGCGGCAAAACCAAGAAUCCACUUAGUGGUCUAGCCACCCUGAACAAAAAUGUAAAGAUAAAAAAGGGGUGGAUGGGGGAUGAACACACAAGAAAAUGAAAGAUCGCCUUGCUACAGUUGAAAUGGUCCUGCUAAUACAUUGUCUAACACAAAAUGACAGAUAUACCAGUACAAAAUUGCAGCAGCUAGCCAAGGAAUUAAUCUCGAUUGCAAUAACCAUAAAACCUUGUCAUUUGUAAAUGUGAAAAGAACUAGGAACUGGAGGACGGUAGCAGCACAGAUACACAUAUAUAUAUUUAUAUAUGUAUGGGACAAAAUCAACUAAUAACAAUUAACGAACAAAUUAAUAGGAAAGAAGAAAUCUCAUAUGCCCAACAUAAACAUAAUUACUUCAAACUAAAUCUCUACCAUGGUGCUGCUGGAUUGUGAUGACCCUGCUGGUCAUUGAAAGAUGAGCCACCAAGUUGAUGAAGAUCAUC